rnacentral:lncRNA from 1 species
UUUAAUCCAGUUGGAUUAAUGAGUGGGUCCGUCUCUAGCUACGUCAACAUUUAACAAAGAAAUUAACAGAAAAACUGACGGAAGUCUGACAUUGGAACAAAUUCAUAAAAUAAGGUAUGACAUUGUCAUUUUUUAAAAAUGAGGUAUGAUAUUAUCAUUCGACCCAUAAUUGAGGUAGUUUUAUGUAAUUAAAUUAUCUUGACCGAAAAAUAAAAUUAAAAAAAAAAAAAACCUUUUGUGGAACUGUAUCGAUUUUUAUUGGCCUGUGUCAGAUGCCUUAUAACCUGAACCAUAUAGACUCUUCACUGGCAUACUGAUAUCACUUCACUGGUGAUGGUAUAAGGCUAAUGGAUAACUGAAAAUGUUGGAUAAAUUUUAGGAAACACCGUUUGAUUGGAGAUGUUUCAUAGUUGUAUGACUAUUAUCAAUAUUAUCAUCACGAAAUGUGCCCCAAUCUAUUAAGGAGUUUGAGUAUCAGCAUAAUAAUCAUCUCGUGUUUAUGUUCAUACUUAACUCUUAAUAUGUCUUUAGCCUAACAUUUUUUAUGUUCAAAUUUACAUUGGUUCAGGUAGAAGAAAUUAACCCUACGAAGAAGCGGAGGUUUGAAGCUGAGCUCAUUCUUUAUCUCUAAGUUUUGAAAUGGGGAACAAUUUAACAUUACUGCUCAUGGGAUCCAAACGAUUUUUGAGGUGGCAUUUUUGUAGCCCAAAAGCCAGAGACUUUCUUCUAAAAAGCAAGCAUACGUUGCUUCGAAGUUUGGCUCACUUUUGUAAGUUCAACGGUGUACAAGUUUUCAUUUUCCUUACGUUGUUUGAAAUUAGAAUUGUACAUUCUUUGUUGUAUUAUCUAUACAAUUAUUAAGAGAUCCUCUUUGUCGACUAUCAACUGUGAAAUCCCAAGGGUCCUGAGAAAAAAGUACGAAAAUAAUGGGCAAAGGUAAUAUAUUCUGAGAAAUUUACACCAAAUGCAGGACCUUAUUAGUACAAAAUCUUAAUCUAGAGACAAUUUACAGACUUUUCAACUAACAAAGCAACACAAAACAAAUGAAACGAUCUUUUUGCUCUUGUGAGUACAGAAACUAGCCAUCUAUUUAUUCGUUUCAAUUAUCUUUAAACUCUAUGGCAUGAAACCUUUGAAUAUUCAGCCAUAUCCACAAGUUGAACAAACACAUUUCACUCCGUGGGAGCAUUUCUUAUCGCACUUGCCGCAUCGUUUCAAGCUAUCUAUUUAUUCAUUUCAAUUUAAUUAUUGUUAUUACUCUAUCUAAGUUAAUCUGGUUGGUGUUAGAAACUGUCACGAGUUACCAAUUUGACUUGCUUCAGGAGCGUGAGAAGAAGGCAAAGAAGAAGUCAUCAUCUGCAACCAAGCCCAAUUCCAAGGAACCAAUAGAACCUAUUGCUGCGGUUGCAGAACCAGGAAAGGUAAUUGAAAAAGGUUGAAGCUUCUGUUCCGGCAAAGGCGAAGGCACAAAAGGAUAAUUUCUGAAGAACAGAGGUCGAGCAAGAGGUUCAGACGCACUACCAAAGGACAUCCUGAAGAGGAAAAAUUCGAGUACCAACUAUUAGCUAUGGGCUGCUUCUGCUGCUGUGUGUGUUGUGUUGUUUCUAGUGCUGGGUUACUACUAUGUUCUUUGAGGAAGGUAAGAUGGAACCGACCGAGGUAGAGAAGGGUCGAGAACUACAAUUUUCUGCAUGAUAGGCGUCCGAUAACGACUAGGUCUAUCUGUUUAGUUAAACUAAGUUAUUUCUGUUCAUUACAUCCUUCUGUGGAUGGACUCAAAAUUCAUAUUGUUGGUGGUAGUUCAGUGGCCAAUCCAGGAUUUUAAAUUCGGAAGGUCCUAUUAAUAAAGGUAAAAAAAAAAUUAUAGACAAAAUUAACAUUGAAAAGUUAAAUAUAAUACAUUUCAUUCAAAAAUCAUACGCAAAACAGCAUUACAAACUAUAAAAUCUUAAUUUGAGCGUCCACGAUGAGGUUUCAUAGUCUGAAAAUGUUCUAUGAUAGCUUCAUUACCAAUACAUAAAAAAAACAUAUUUCUCAAUAUAAAUAACUAAGUUGUCACUCAACCAUCUUUCUCAAUGAACAAAUAGAUGAUGCUAUUGGCUUUGGCUUGAAAAAUCUCUCCAUAUUUUUUAUUUCUAAACUACACAUUUAACAAAAAAAAAACACAAAACAUAUACCAAUUGUUAAAAAGGUCCUAUUUUCUUUCUUAUCCGCUUGCGGUCUAGGCGGAUUUAAGUAAAUUUAUUAUAUACCUUUAGUAUUUUGGUGAAUUUAAGGUAUAAGAUAAAAGUUUAAAUAAUUACAAGUUCAUAGUAAUUUACAUAAUACUUUUAGAGAUCAUAUUGAUUUAUAUUGAAUUUUAAGACAAAUAAGUGUGUUAAAUAUGUGGGUGUAGAAAGCAAAAUGAGGCAUUGGACGCAUAAAAAGGGCAGCCACACCAAUUAACAAAAAUACACCUAGGGACUGACAACCCAUUUUCUUUUUUGGAAAGAUCAACUUGAUGCUAGCUGUCCAAACGUGAUUGGACCAAUUAAAAAAUACAUUAAAUGGGAAAGUUUGAGGGUGGUCAUGUGGGAAAGGAUGAGAGAGACUCAUUUAAUCAUCUUUCCUCCUUUCGUCUUCCCAAGAACAGAACCACCAAACCCAAAAAUUACAUAACACACCUCAUGUACGAGUACGAGGGGUCCCCGAAAAAUUUCUAGCAGCAAUUUAGGGUCGUCGAGGGGUCCUGGGACCUCCCAGGUCCCUCUGUAUAUCCGCCACUGUGGUAGUCCAAACUCUCUUUCAAUGGAGAAGAAGAAACACACAUUUGGUUUUCUUUAUGUCAUUUCAAAUUUCAAAAUUUAUCCCUUUUUCACGGAUGUUAUCUUAAAGAAUAUCCUGGUUCUGUUAUUUUUCAAGCAAUUAUGAGUUUUAAUGUCAUCUGCAAUUCUUUGGGACCAUUGGAUAACUAUUUCAUUUUGGGGAGUGAUUGAUUUUUACACUCUCUGUUUUACCUCUUUGCAUUCCUUUAUUUAGAACAAUAAUGGGAAAUCUUUAUGUAUAAUAACAAUCCUUUAUCCAGUGCUUAACUACAUUGACAGAAAGUAAUCAUGCCUUUACACAUUGGUUUGGAUUUCUUGACCAAUUCUCCUUCCUCCUAGCAACUAAGUAUCUAAUCCACUAAUGUUAUCAUUCUCAUAAUAAAAAGAACAAUACUUGGCUACUCAAAUGAUGAGUAGGAAUUCCUACUCAAAAUAUCCGUUGCCGAUUUAUAUAACUUUGUUUUUAUGAUCAAAACCGUUCAUAUUAUAAAUCACCUUAUAAAGAUUGUCUCUUAAAAAAUCAAUUAAAAUUAAAGUUGUUUAGUCAUUGAAAGGUUCUGAAAUAUCUCUUUGAAGUAUGGAAGGUUUCUAAAAUUUCUUUUUGUGUUGUAAACACGAAAAUUCUGUAUCGAAUGAAACAAGAACACGUGUACAAAGUAGAUUGGUAUUGAUUUGAAUUUGUAGGUUACAAUCUCUUUUUACAACUUUUUCUCUAAUUCAAUCUUCAAAUUUGAUGUAAAUGGUUGAUUGUUGAUCCAAGGAUCGCUAUGACUUGAUCUUGGACAAACGAUUGAACGAUUGCGUCAAGUUUUGAGCUUGAAACAAUGUGUGGAUGGUCUCCACCUCUAGGUGCAACAAAGAUGAUGUUGAUGUAGAAUUUUGUUGACUUGAUCUUGAAACGAACGUUUGCUACAAGUUUUGAGCUUGCAACAAAGCCUUGAAGGAAUCAGCACGAGUGCUUGUUGAUUCUUCAAGUGAGUGCUUCAACUUUGGUCGACAUAAAGUUUCAGCUUUAGUUGAAUAUUCUUAGAAGAGAGCUUUGGUAGCGUAUUAGUCUUCAAAGAUUUGGCAGAGGUUCUUCUGAAUGUAGAAUUUUCGACCCUUAUGCUUAUGGGAGGACCUUGUAUUUAUAGGUCUCUCAAGGCUUGUCUUUGGGUUGAUUUGACUUUGAUUUAUAUCCUAAUUUGUCCAUGGGAGAAUUUAGGGAUGUUUUGUGUCUUAAUUUCAACCAUCUUUACUCCGUUGGCUGAAUUAUAAGGUCUUUGUUUCCUAUUUUGUGAGCAAUCUUCAAUUCUUGCUUGUUUUGUGAAGAUGCCUUAACUUUCUUUCCGGUCUUGAGAACACUUUCAACCCUUGCCCUUUUUUUAAGAGAGGUUUUCUCUCUUUGGCCGAAUUCUGGGAAGUUUUAAGUUUCCUUUGCUUGAUUUGUGCCACAUGUCAUUGAUGACUUGUCCAUUUGUAAUGAGUCAGAUGUCAUAUGGAGCUUUGUGAUGCAUCAUUUGUAUGCAAUGAAAUUUACAUGUCUACAGGUGUAUUGCAGGGUUUGGAAAUCUCUCUUUAACGUGUUGAUGAGUUUGAAAAAUGUACAUUAAUGUGCAGUCAUGGUUGUUUGCCAAUUUUCUCAAUUUGGCCCCAUCUUUAUCAAUUGAGGUCUUCACUUUUUGCUCAUAUAUAAUGCAGACCUGUUGCAGUAAGCAAUAUUUAAGUUAAAAAAUAGCUCGUGGCUUCCUCUUCAUCUUCUUAUUCUCUUGCAUUAUAUCAUUUUUGUUUAAUUACCAUCCAUCAUUGCUUUUAUAUGAUUGUGGGGAACUUUAUGCCUUGAAUGUGGAGGAGCUCCACUAGCUUUCCAUGGCUUGUUGGGUAGUUGGGAAUGGAAGAAAUCAAUCUUAAAAGGAAAUUUCUCUUAGACGUAUUGAAUAUGCACAAGAGCUCUCUCUAACCCACCCAUCUUCUUCAUCCAAGCGCUCUCUCUCUCCCCUCUCUACAUUUUGAAUAUGCACAAGAGCUCUCUCUCUAACCCACUCAUCUUCCUCAAUUUUUACCUUUUCAUUCAUAGGUUUUGUGAACUGGGUUUGCUUAAAUUUGCUUUUUGAUUGAUGAAAUUUUGGAGUUAAAGUUGAUUGGUUUGGUGUUUCUUGGAGGAGACCCAAAUCCUUUUUUUUAUCAUAUCUCUGAUUUAUAUUUGGAUUUUCAUUUCUUCUGCCUUCUCCUUCCUUCUGCUCCCUCUCUCCAUCCAAAUUUACAAGCACUAAAAUAGGGUUUGGCUUUUGCUACAAUUAAAUGAAAAAAAACGUAUUAAAGGUCAGUUACCUUUUGGAGAAGAGAUAAUUUUGAGGGAAAAGAGAGAAAUCAGAGUGGAAAGAAGGAAGAGAGAAGGAUAUGGAUGAAAUUGUUUUGCGUAGUCGUUCGCUCUCUUCGUAUUAAGCUCACUCAUACAUUGUAUGUACACGACAUGCACAUGUUAUGCUCACAGAUCUGCGCUCAACCCAAAAACCUACAGCUCACAGCUCUUUCUUCGAAAUCAGAAAAAUGACGCAAUUAGAUAAAUGAUCCUAAACUUUAUAUGAAGAAUCGAAGAUUCAUUAAUUUGAAUUUGGUAUCAAAUUUGAUUGGGUUCAAAUAUUUCAAGGAUUUGAAAAAUUUGCAGUUUGAAUGGGCACGAAAGAACCCAACUGAAUUAAAGGAAAUUGUUUCACGAACUCGUUCACUUUUUUCGUAUUUGCAGGGCCUGCCUCUGAAUCAAAGUAAAAAGUAGUAAACUAUGUCAAUGCGAAGAGUAUCAAAGAUGUAAAUACGCACCAUCUACACAAAUACAGUAUAUGCACACCACAUGCACAUAAUAUGUACAGUAUAUGCACAUGAUAUGCACAGAAUGAGAGAAACUUUAACGGCAACAUAUUGGUAUAGUGGAUACAAUUAAAACAUAAUUGUUAGGUAUAUAAGGUUACAAUGAUAGUUUGAAAAGUCUUGUUACGUAUAUCAACCACCGCUUAACCGUGCACGUGGAAAACAUGAUACUCGUUGUUGUUAUUUCAUGGACACGCAUGACCCUUAACGUCCUCUAAGUUUUUUCUUAAUUUUGUUUUUCACCGAGGCCAACUAGGUUGUGGUCAUACUCGCUAAAUUCUGAGGCACAACAUACGUGCAUCAUAACUAGUGAACAUCCCUACUUCUCAUAUUAAGAUGUAGCCAUGCACACCACAUGCAUAUUACGGAAAAAAAUUUCACAAAUUUUUGAAAUUGGACACUUAACCAGAAAUUGUUCCAUCCCAGUCUUGUAGCAUGUCAAAACUUGAACUUUAUUCCACGACCCAUAUGCCCCAACAUGAAACACAAACCCUAAUUUAACUUCUAAGUAUUAAUUUAUCUUACAAACAACCCAUUUAUUCCAUAAAUCAUUGAUGAAGGAACAACCCAUUUAUUCCAUAAAUCAUUGAUGAAGGAACUUGCAACUAAACACCCUACCUUACUAUGUCUGACAGUCGCCCGAAAGUGAAACUUUCCAGCCAAAACAGAAAAUAUGGUACAAAACCCAACUCAAUCUUCUCACCUCUCUCUCAUAUCCCUUUGUUUGAAAUCAGAGGCAUGAGGUGAAUCCAAAACCCAGCUCACUCUUCUCGCCUCUCUUUGGACUUCCGUCUCUUCAAAAUCGGAGCUCACAUAUUUGAGGAAGAGAGAGAGUAGAGAGAGACAAAUAAGAAAAUGGGUGAGAGAAAGUGAGGAAUAACCCAUUUAUAUGUGGGUAUUUUAAUAAUUUCAGUUUUGUGCAUAAUGUGCAAUUUGUCCUAUUUCAAUCUCAAGAUUAAGAACCUAUCCCAUUUUUUGGGUAUUUCCCUUUUUCCCCUCUUUCCUCCUUCCUCUCUUUUCUUUUUCCUCCAGCUUUUUCCCAUUCCAUCUAUUCUAGAGCAUCCUAGCUCUCUCCUCUAAUUUUUGCUUUGUUUAUUAUGUAUUUUGGUCCCACCACAAUGAGUAUCAAGAAAUUCACUAUAGCUUUAAAUAAAAUGGAACUUUGGUAAAUCUUUCAACUACGAAGAUUAAAUUUGAUCACUUUGAUCAUAAAUUGAAUUACAAGGUUUAAACCCUAUUCAUCGUACAAUUUAGUUAAAUAAUUAAAAUGCAAGUGUAGGGUGUCGCAAGUACAAUAAACCAUUCUAACACACAAAAUUAACAUACUUGUUGACACACUUUUUUCAUACAUAUGAGCUUUAUCAUGGUAUUUGGGUAAUGUCUACUUGUGUGUCCAACUAGCAUUAUCAAUAGUAAUAUUUCGACAUGGUGUCAACCAAAUGUUAAAGCUGAUUGGUAGUAUUUUUUAUAUCAUCUGUCGAGAAGAAACCUAUAAUAUAGUGAAGACAAUUAACAUUGCUACUUUGGAAAUAUAGAAAAUGUUAAGUAGGAAUAUCAUGCGAAAAUCACAAUGAACAAAUAGUUAGAAUUUAAACUUUGAUGGUUCAAUUCGUUAUUCUGAAAAAUCAAUAGCUGGAUUUGUUAUUACUUAUUAGACUCCAACAAAUAUACCUUUGUAGUGGAAGAUGAAGUUAUUGGUUUAAAAUAUGGCUUGAUUUUACCACAAUGAUUCGGCUGCAAUGUCUUGAGGUUGAAGGAAAUUUUCAUAUUUAUCGAAAAGAAAAUAUAGUAGAACUUCGAUAAUAUGAUACCCAAUAAAUUAAUAACUUCAGUUAAAUAAUAUUUUUGACCAGUCCCGACUUGGGGACAACGUGCUAAAUUAAUGAUUCGCUAAAUUUAUAAGAUAUAUAUUAUAAAAAAAUUCAUAUAGGUCCACAAUAAUAUAUAAAUUAAUAGUUUGUUGAUACAUAAUGUUUAUUAUUCGACUAUAAUACAUAUUGCUUAUAUUUUUUAGUGCUACCUCGAUUAUCUUCUUUCAUUAUUUAUUUAUUUACAUCUUUCAGAUGAGAAGUCAUUGUUGUAUGUAUGAUGUGCUAUGUUAUAAUGGCUUUGGUUUAUCUAAAUAGAGUUUUUUGCUCGGUUAAAUGUUCAUAAAAUAGAAUAAUGUAGUACAUUAGAACAAUGUACAAUCUAUUUUUGAGAAAAAUUAGUAGAUUCAGGAAUUUUAACUUGAUUAAACAUAUACAUUGAAUUGUAUGUCGUAAAAAGAAAAAUUAAAUAUGAUGUACAAUAUUUAAGAAAAUAAGGAAUACCUUCGUAAAUUAAUGAGUUAUUUAUUUCCACCCAUAUUGUGUCCCCGAGGGGACAUCAAACUGAAAUUUCUACCAUAAAGAAUUGUUUCUUACAUGUAAGAAAUUUUUCCUUUUUAAGAUUAUAAGCAUUCUGCAGCUCAAAGAAAUUUAGUUUGUCUCAUGAUUGGUGCACUCAAAAUAUAUAUAAUAGUAGGUUUAUAUUCUAAUCAAUUCUAAACACUGAACCAGGCAAAAAUACAUUAUUUAUGAACGGUUAAUGAAAUCGAGGGAUUCAUGGCCUCAAUCUCAUAUGAGAAUUUGUGGGUUUGGUUGCUCAUGUCAAUUUUCGUUUUCCAUUGGCUAGGACCAGUCACAUUGAAGAAUCCAAACUCUGAUUCCAUAUAUAGCUUUCUAAGCCACGCGCAAACCCCACUCUUUUCUCCUCUAGUGGUCAAAUUUCUUUGCUCCUUCCAUUAACCAAGAAUUAUACAUCUUGCUAAUGUCAUAAACAUGUACAUUUUUUUGUGUACCAAAAAAACUGAGUGGGGCCAUUUGUUCCCUCUGGGCCUAAGGUGGCUCUGUCCAUGAUGAUAGUAAGAGUUCGUACCAAGAUAAUAUGGUGCUUUAAUAGGCCUUGAUAAAAAAUUAAAAAAAAUUAAAAUUAAAAAACAUUGAAAAAGAAAUUAAAAAAAAAUUGCCGGAGAUUUUAAUAAUCCGAACAAUCAAGAAUCAAAUUUUAAAAUUAAGAAUUUUGAGCCUUUUCUUUUUAUCUUUUUGGUUUUCCUUUAAAUUCACAAAGUAUUUGUAACAUCCCACAUCGUCCAGGAGAGUGAUCCUUAAAUGUAUAUUCACAUCUCUACCUAGCACGAGGCCCUUUAGGAACUCACUGGCUUCUGGUUCCGGAGGAACUCCAAAGUUAAACGAGAAGAAGGCCAGAGCACUUCCAGGAUGAGUGACCCACUGGGAAGUUGCUCGUGAGUUCCCAAAAACAAAACCGUGAGGGAAUGGUAAGCUCAAAACGGACAAUAUGGUGCUAUGGUGGUAGAGCGGGCCCGGAAUGUGGUGGACCCAAGCCAGAAUGUGACGGUAUUCAUACAAACUUUGAUUUAGAAAGGGUUUAAAGUUUAUACAGAAAGUGGAGUAGCAAUGAGGAGGACAGGUGCAAUGAUAUAUUUCUUUCUUCCCUACUUGUGGAUAAAGACAUGGAAAAAUAAUGUACAUGGGAAUGUAAGGCUGUACUUCCUUUGAAAAUUGUUUGAAAGCAAAGCUAGCUACUCGGAGAAGCAAUUGCCUUGAAAAUUAUUAGUACAUUUUUGUUUUCUUCAUUAAUGUGAAAUCACCUCAAACCAAAUUGUAAGAAAACACAAAAAAGCUGAUAUUUGAUUGUUUAAAUUUUAAGUUAUUCAAGAUUUAAGUUGUUUCCUUUACUAAUAUAUUCACGGAAUCAAGUACCCUUUCUUCUGAUCGAUCUCUUUAUUGUGUAAAAGAAUUAAUAUUGUGGCACUAAAUCACCGUCAUAUAUCUGACUUGUUAUUUUGUCCCUCCUUUUAAGUUCUUUAAUUUGAAGAAAAAAAAAAUGGCUUGUAGCAGAAUUUUGGCCUCCAUAAAAGUCCUUCACAUUUGCUUGCGAAUUAUAAUAAAAUUACAAGACUCCAAAACGCAAAGCUAUUCAAUCCGAAGUUGUCAACUUGAAACAUUAGUCCUAGGAUUUGCGUCCAAUUGAAUCUUUGGUCCUACAAUAAAAACUUGUGAGUUUUGAUCCUAAGCUUGUCAUAAAGUGGAGGAGAACCGAUCGUUUUGGAUAACAUUGUUACAAUUUUUAUUCAAAUAAAGGGUUUAAAAGGACAAGGUAUUAGUAUGCACUCAAUUACAUAUGAUUUUAGCCAUCGAAGUUAUUUAGUUAGUUUAAUUAGAUGAUUAGUUGAGUUGUUAUGUUAAUCUUAAUUACAGAAGAUUAUUGUAUAGUAUAAGUAUUUGAACGUUUCUUACCGAAUGUAAGUAAGAUCAUAUUGUUCAGUUCAUAAAAAAAAAAAAAGGUUCUCUUUCUUCUUCGUUUGCUCUGCAACCUAGGAGACUAUCUCUGCUUUCAUGGUAGUUAUACAAGAACAUGAGUGAGAGCAUUCACAUAAUAACCCUAUCCCCGUCCUCCUAUCACUCCAUAGCAUAUCCGACCUCGCCUUUUUUUAUAAAUUUUAUUUUUAUAAUUUUAAUAAGCACAUGCAUAGCAUGUGUUCAAUUGCUAGUAUUUAUUAAAAAACACUAGAAAAUAUUUUCUUCAGAAGCCAAUGUCAUGUGCUUUUACGAUCCAUAAACAUUGUUAAAAACAAUUACAAGUAUGUUGGUUGUUAGAAAACAGUUUACUCUUUCAAAAAUAAUCUUAAAAACUCAAGUUUAAAAAUAUCCUUAAUCACGAUACGAGAAAUUUACAAAAAUACAUAUAUAUUAUUGAUUACAUGCAAGUUUCUCCUAUCAAUCUUUCACAAUGGCCAAAGUGCACGCUCAUAUCUGUUACUUCAAACUAAAGAGCUUUAAUAGUGACAACAUUUAAUCUAUUAUCUUUCCCCAAUUCAUGAGUUAAGAACUUGAGAGAGAGGAGAGAGAGAUAUCUCAAUAUGCGUGUGUACGAAGUGAUUUGGUCGUCUUCUAAGAAAGGGAACUGAAGUUGACACGAGAGGAGGAAAGCAGGCCAAGGCCUCCAUUAUCAAGAUUCCUUCGGACGUUUCUCCAGAGACGUGUGCUUCCCUCAAGCCUCGGGGGCCCCACCUACACCUUACCCUGUAGGGCCCACCUCGGAAACUAGCACCCUGCUGCUUCCCUCUCCAAUCCGGCAAAUUUUUAUUUGUAACCGGAACACGGAUGAUACAUCACGUAUUUUUAUAUAAGUUAUGAUAAUUUGUAUUUUUCAAGUUAUAAACUUUUUAACACACAUAUUCCAUAAUUUAUAUAGUGACACGUAAUGUACCACCUGUGUUCCAAUCACAUUGAAAAAUUUCACCUCCUAUCCCAUGCAUCUAUAAAUUCAGGUCGAUGGUGCAGAGCUUGGAGAUACAGCAAGCAAAAUACCAUUCAAGCGAAAACCCUAAUUUAAACACAUCUUCAGCUCCAAGUUCUUAAGUUUAUCUUCAACAUGUCGGGCAAGUGCGGCAACUGCGAUUGUGCUGACAGCUCCCAGUGCGUGUAAGUAGUGCUUCUUUAUCAGUUUAUUUAUGGAUGUUUGAUUCUUGCAUACAAGGUUAAGUAUAAAUUUCUCUCAUGCACAACAAAUAAUUAGCACUUGACGCUAUGGUGAUGGUGUACUUGUCUUGUGAAAGUUUUUCUCAUGUAUAUAGACCAUACAAAUGGGGAGAUCUUGGAUAUCCUUGAGGGUAUGACACCAGAGAUGUAUCACCAGAGACUAAACCCUAGCUAUAGCGCUAGUCAAAUCAUGUCAUGUUACGAGUGCUAUAAGAAUAUGGUGAAAUGUGUCCUUGGUGACACCUGAAUCUUUCUCCAAUAUAAGGGAUCCUCAUAAUUGUUUUCUACAAGGACUAUUCAUUAAUAUUUUACUCACUUAAUAACAAGAUUAUAUAAGGUAGUUUACUUGCUUAAAUGCAAAAGAAUUGAUGGAGGAUUUUAACCAAACAUUUUAGUUUACAGUUUAAUGAUAUUUUUCUUUUAGCAUUUAACGUGUUCCAUUUUGGAUUCACCUUUUUCGAUCUAGUUGGUGUAUACAUUCCAUCCAAGUAUUAACAUGCCAAUUCUUUGAAAUUGCAGGAAGAAGGGAAACGGCUACGACUUGGUGAUCGUGGAGACUGAGAACCGGUACUUUUCUCAAAAAGCUUCAAUACAUUCAAGUCUAAAAUUUUCUUCCCUUUGUUUCCUUUCGACUAUAUGUUAAAGACUAAUUAUGGAGAAUUAAUAUAUCUUGAUUUAAUUUGCAGCUCCAUGGACACCGUCGUCGUGGACGCUCCUGCAGCCGAGAACGACGGAAAGUGCAAGUGUGGCACAACCUGCCCAUGUGUGAACUGCACCUGUGGUCAGUAAGCCCAGAGAACCAAAUUAAGAUGUGAUUAAUAAAAGUGUCAUAUUAAUUAAGGGAUUAUAGACCCUUAAUUAAUGAAAAGUGUUUGUGGGAAAAAAUAACUUUGUGGCUUUGUCUUUCGUUUGCUUAUAGUAUUUGAGUCUGUUGAGUGACAUGUUGUACGUCUGUGAAAACAUGUCACUCAUAUGUUUGUGUUUCUGUGAUUGUGUCAUGUAAUGGCCAUGUUCAUGGCCCUUUGAUUUAUAUGCAAAUAUUAGAAUACAUGCUAUGGCUCUGUUAAUUACCAUCUUAUUUUUCAUCACCCAUAAUUUUGUUUCGCAUCAUAGCUCCAAUUAAUCAUGAAAAUUGAUGCAGCUCCAGUUAAUCAUGAAGUUGAAGAGAACGUAAUAUACGUACCCCUACAUAAAAUACUAUGGAUAUUGAUGGACUUAUAGUUCAAGUAGUUUAAUAUACCUUUCAAUCUGAUCUAAGGUUUGAUGUUCGAUUUCUCCUCUGUUAACACCGUUGGUAUUAAGAAACAAAAUGAAGACAAAUAUGACGGAUAUGUCCAUUAUGUUCUCUAUUUGAAACCCUUUUGGAUCUAGGGAUUGCUAGCUAGUAUGCUCGAUCAUCUUUAUUUAGCACUUCAAGAUGUUUUGAUUCCGUUUGCUCUUCCUUUGAGCAACCAAAACGAAUGGCACAAAAACGAAGAAUUAGAAAUCCCAUUUCACUGUAUUGGUGGUGUGAAUAGGGAGAGGGUGUCUUAAUUUUUUCUCACAUGGUCUCGCUUGAUUCGUUUGAGAUAGCGCCAACUAGGCGUCUAUAUUUCAUUUAAUUCCUCAUGAAUAAGAGGUUAGAAAGGGAUUAGUUUAUCUGAGAUAUUGAGAUGACAUAUUGUAACUUUAUAAAUUUUGAUGGGCGUAACUGUAAAUCUCAACAAAAUUACGUAAAAUACAAGUCAAAUAAAGAAGCUCUCCUUGUAUUAUUCUUCAACGUUCAAAUAUUAUUAUGUUGUAUGUCUAAACCUAAAAUAAAUGGUUUCCUUUCAAAACUGUUCAUGUAGCCUUCAACUUAUUAUCUUAACCAUCUCCGGCAACUUCAAACAUUGAAGCCUUCUGCACGUAGGCACUUGAGAUGAGCAUCGAUCCAUUUUGUGCAAGCGUCUUGACCAUGCUCCACAAUGCAUUCAUCUCGCAGCUUCUUAGUAUCCGGGCAAGCACAGCAUAUCUUCUUCUUCGGCUUUGUGUCCAGGGCAGGAGUAGUGACUGCUGACCCUUGAUUUGGCUGCGACCCUUUCAAAACCAAGGCAGAGGAAGUAUAUUCCGCUGGCAGUCCACCCAUUUCUCAAAUUUCUUGAAGACCUAUUAGAAAUACACUAUUAAAAACCGAAAAAAAAUACAAAGAACAUCAGCUUCGACUCAGAGCAGCCUUGAUGUUAAACAUGUAUUCAUUAAGGGCGGUAUACACCAUAUCUUACCUAAACAGAGAGAAUGGAAAAAAGAGAUACGGCGUCUUACUUUACUAGAACACAUCCUAAAAUUCAUUGAUCGCGCAUUAGCCUAAUCACUAGACACUAGCUCAUGUAAAACGAAGGAAAUCACCGUAAAGGAAAAGCCCGUUUAUUUAAGCAUGCAACGAGUUCAGAUCAACUAAACCACGCCUCUAAAUUCCAUUAAAUACAGAAAUCAAUCAAUUGAGACCAACCCUUUCAUAUCAUAGCAAAGGUGAACCAAUUUCAAUACUGAAGCAAUUCAACCAAUCUCCCAAAGUACUGGUAAGAGCCUAUUUACCAGCUUCUUUCAGCUUCAAACCGAAAAUCCGUUUUCCUACUAUUUUACUUGAAUUCAAAAUUCUCCAAACGGGCACUAAUCUACAGAAGGAACUCAAAACUAAAAACCCAAAUGAAGUAAUAAACUUUUUUCACACUGAUUCCGGAUUUCAAUCAAGAUUCAAGACACACCCUUUAUCCAAUACCCACUCUGGCAUUCCUUCAAGCACAUGGUGGGCACUUUGUUACUACAAUCAACUCCAUCAUACAUGCUAUACAUUUACCAGAACUAGCAGAAACUACCAAUACAAAGGGAAAAACAGAAAACCCAGAAGAAAAUUAAAGCAACCCAUCUAAUCAAACACGAAGACAGCCAUAACCACAGAGAUUUUGGAACCUUACAUCUAAUUUAUUGGAUCUCAGAAGGGUAACGAAAUUUGCAACAGAAAUGUAUGCGAAAAGGAUGGAAUUACUUACCAAUGAUACGGAAGGUGGAGAAGCUGAAACGAAGAAGCUUUGCGUCUUCUGCAGAAAUUGGGAGCAGCGAAAAGGUGUUUCUCUGGAGACGAAAGUGGCCGCUCAAAAUUUCAAGGCUUAAACUGGGCCGCGUAUGAGUCGAAAGGUCAACCAUGUGUUGGGCUCAGUGGGCCUACACAAAAUAUGCUGAAAAGUUUCAUUUUUUAAUUUUUUUUUUUAAUAAACGAUAUUAUUUACACGAAAUGAGAGAGUAAGGAUUUAAUCUCAUAAUAGGUUAGCAAUAGUUCAAAUUAAUAUUUAUCAAGUGUCGAUGAGAAAUGAAUACUACUAGACAAUAGUACUAAGUGGCUUUUUUUUUUUUUUUUUAAUUUUGUUAGUGAUAAAAUAAACAUUUGGACGAACACAAAGCAAUAUGUAAAUUGUUAGGAAACCAGGGGACUUUUUGACAAUACAAAUCUCCUUUAAUGUAACGUGAUUAUAGCCGUUAGAUUGACAAGUUUACUCAGACUUCUCUAGUAAGAUAUAGAUUAAUCAACACUAUGUUGAGAGUGAUCUCAUGAUUGCACAGCCAACUAUUAUCAUGAAUUCCAAAAAAUGCAAAUGUGAGUUACCUCAAUUGGUCACACAUUGUCACGAAACCAAGUAAAAGACACGAAUAAAUGCAUUUGUUGUCAUUUUAUUCAUUCCUUAAUGUGAAAAUUUACAACAGGGACACAAGCGAAUGUGCAAAAUUGCAAAUAAACAAGAGAGUUUGUAGAACAUGUUCAAGAUUAACAAGAUCCAAACAACCUAUAAACUAACCAGAAGUGAAAUCUUAUCUUUGUUUUUCUCUAUCUGCAAUUCUUGUAGUUACCAGAAUUCAACGUCAUUUGUUUUGUUAGACAAAAUCAUUCCAAUUUCCAACAUGAUCAAGAAGUUGAACAACUCGAAAUAUAAGAUACUCCCGAGCACCUUAGAAGUUUCGCAGCAGAGCAAAUGCAAUUCUCUACUAAUCAUACUUCUCCCUCCAUGAGUACACAAGAAGUAACACCCAUGAAAGCGCCAAUGUGACGUCACCGGCGACAUGUUUUGGCCAGUCUCCGGCGAGCUCUUCGAGGUUCCUCUCGAAGUAAACUCUCCAAAUGGCCAUGGAAAUGUGGAGCAACACGCAACCCUUGGCAAAGAAGCUCUGGAACUUAUGGUCUUUGACAAAAGCAACCAUGAACAGAAGGAAUCCAAUGGCAAACAGAAGGAAUCCGGAGAAGGAAUCCGCUGUUCGGAUCAAAAGCCGGUCGUGAGGCGUCGACCCUUGGAGCUUGCUUGCUGUCUCAUGGCCAUGGCUGAACACAGAGAAUUCGUAGGAGUAGAACAUCAUGAAAGCUCCACAAAUCAGAGCAAUCACAGAGUGGAGCAUGCAUAUUAGAAAAAACCCAGAUAACCCCAUUGCUCAAAAUCCCAAGUAAAACACUAAUCUUUCUUCUCUUCACAAAUAAACUUCGAGACGUGGGCGUAGUCACAUUAGCCAGAAAAGACGUGCUCCCCUGUGCACCGAGUUUGAAUCCCCUUCUCCUCCGCAGUUUACAAUAUCGCAAAAAGGAUCACAUAUAUAUCAAAAACCCUAAACCCUGAACUCUCACUUCACAAAUCCCAGAAACCGGAGCAAGUAAAUUGAUCAGAAGCCAACCUUACUUAGCUUCCACUCUAAAACUCAAAAAACCCAGAUGCUAGAUUGACCCACAGACCAAGAUUUCAAGAUUUUUAAGAUUUGAAAUAAAGAAUCAAACCUCAAACAAGGAAAACCCUAAUCUUAUUUAUCAAUGUUUUCCACAUGAUUUAAAAAAACAAGGGGGUUUUGCAUUUUUGGCAGAGUGAAGAGAGGAAAGAGGAAUGGAGCUUGGUUGAGAAAUUUCAGCAACUACAACAUGCCGAUUGGCAGGGGAGGGAUUUUUCUAUUUGUGGUGAAUUAUUUUAUCUGAUUUUAUUAGCUGCAGAAAUUUAAAGAUGCUAUAAAUGGAAAGGAUUAUACAGAUUUAAACUUUGCUUCUGUCUACAAAACCCCACAGCUCAUGAACAUUUUCUGGUUUCUUCCUUGUUCUGCAAAUCAAUUGGAACAUUUGUGGGGGUCUACAUUAUUUUUCUAAUUUUCUUUAGGUUGUAUUAUUACUAAAUUGACCAAAAAAACAUAGAAUACACCAUAUCUAGAAAAUAUUUCCUCACAUCCUUUUUCAGAAGAAAAUUAAGAAAAAAAUGUAUUUUUUAGGAGGCUCAUAAAGACUUUUGUCCCUCUUUUGAAGAUUCUAUAUUUUGUCUUUUUUAAGUUGGGAAAAUUUGAAAUACGUCCAAUUUUAUAGGCAUACUUUUGAAAUAGGUCCAAUUUUUAGUUACUUUGGACCAUGGUCUAAAAUAUCCAUAAUAUCCCGAUAUUUUUAUCAAAAUUUCCGUGUUUUUGGACUACCGAUAUUUUUUUGGACUACCGAUAUUUCCGAUUUCAUCGAUAUUUUAGACCUUACUAAGUCACUCAUGUAUCUUACCAUGCAAUGUAUAAAGUGCAAAAUAUUGUAUUAAUUUAUUAUAUAUAAAUAAUUAUGGUGUGUUUAAACUUUUUUCAUUAAUUACUACAUAUUUUCUACACUCACAAUGUUUGACAGCUCGCUAUAUAAUCAACUUAAAUCAGUUAUAUCUAUCAUGCAAUUCAUUUCCUUCCAAUUUUUUGUGAUAAACUAAUAGAUAAUUGACUAAAUAAACAUUCUGCAAAGUUUCAAUAAAAAUUUCCAAGUUUUUCUUACAAUUUUCGUGGUUUUUAUUCAAUUUCUAUCGAUAUCGAUAAUAUCCCGAUAUUUCCAUCGAAAUUUCCGUAUUUUUAGACUACCGAUAUUUCCGAUAUUAUCGAUAUUUUAUACCUUACUUUGAACUCAUAUCAAAAGAUCCCUUUUAAAUUUGAAAGAAAGAGCAUCAUUACGUGAGCUAUUUUAAGAUACUAGUAACGCCUACAGUUUUAUCUUAAAAAAAAACGCAUCUUUAAUGGGAGAUACAAGUUGCUUCGAGAUUGACAUAUUAUAUUUUUAUUUUAUCGGAAAGCCUUGUAAUGGAGAAAUGUAAGUUAUCCAUCUUUGGAUGUGGGUUUCGUUAGUCGAAGAGAGAAAAAUAAAUGAGAUCCAAAUUUACAUUUUUUUUGUUGGAGUACAACUCAUAUUUAGAUUUAUUUUUAAUGUAAAAUAAGAUGUAAAUGUGAUAUUUACGUCACAAAAUUUACAAUUUUCUAUCAGAGAUGUUCUAAAAGCGGUGAAAAAAUUCAAACUCUCGAAAAAAAUAUUUGAAAAAAAAAAUGAAUUGUUAUUAGCAUUCUAAAAUUCUCAUUCUACACUCCAAACUUUUUAUAUUUAGAAAGAAAACUACAUUUGUGAGGAGUACAGAAUGAGAUUUUUAGAGUGUCAAUAAUACUUCCCAACAAAAAUCAUUUCUAAAUAAUUAGCCCAAAGAGAAGUGCGUUCACUUCACGUCUUAAGCUGUCUUACCAUGACUCAAUGUUUUUUUAAUUAGGAAGCUCACGUCUUGCAGAUGUCUAUGGAUUCAUUGGAGGAGGGUCCCUUAAAUUUUCUAAAAUAUUGAGUCUUGUUUAGGAAAAAAAUUUCCUUGUAACCGGAACACGGAUGAUACACCAUGUGUUUUUAUAUAAGUAGUGGGAAAUUUUAUUUUUUUAAUUAUUAACUUUUUAACACACAUAUCACAUCAUUUAUAUAAUGACACGCGAUGAACCACAGCAUGUUACCGUCAUAUUGAAAAAUCUCUCAUUGUUUAGCUCAUUGCAAACGCAAGUAGUUAUUUUUUUAAUAAUUAUACAAAAACAUCUCAUUAAACCCACAUAAGAGAAAGUUUUUGCUCGUCAAAUCAUGAUUUUUCUAAAAAAAGAAUGAUAACUUCUUGUGCGUAAAUGAAAGAUUACAUCGCCAUGCUAAGAAACCCUUCAAACUAAACUUGUUCUUUUUCACAAUGUGAGCUGGUGCUGUCAGAAUCUUGUGCAUCUGCAUAUAAAAAUUAUCUAAAGUGGAUGCACAAGAAAAUGAAUGCCAAGGGUUUGAUGGAUGGUUGGUUGUAAAUGUCCAUGUACAAAGUAAGCUGUAUUGCUUUGUUCUCUCCUGCACCAACCCAAUGACAACUUUACUAUAUCUUAUACAUUGAGAUUCACAUAACAUUAGAAGUAAUCAUCAUCAUAUGAUUCAUAUGUGACCACCACCUCACUUGCAGGCUACAGCUGUGGAAGUGCCCAUUCUUUUAUCCAUAUUAUUAGCGGUCGAGUUUAACCUAUUUAUAUUUGUGUUGUGGCCCUGUCAAUCUACAGGUUGAUUAACAUACAAAAUGACUUUAAAAUAAUAAUUUAAUGAUACAAUAGCCUGCGUUAUUCUUCAAACAUUUGAGAAAAAUUAUUGUUUAAUUGUUUCCGCGGAGUUUUUAUUUUCAUGUUAAUUUCAAAUCAUGUAACAUGUCUUGUUUGGAAAUUGUCAUUCUUGGUAUGUUGCUCAAGAGAAAAUUUUUAUUAUGCUCGGAAAAUGAGUGGUACAUCACGUGUCAUUAUAUAAAUAAGGGAAAUUUUAUUUUUCAAGUUGUUAAUUUUUUAACAUAAAUAUCUCUUCACUUGUAUAAUAAAACGUGAUGUACCACUAGAUAAUCUCGUGUUGCUCAAUCCCUCAAAUUCAUCACGCACACUUACCAAUGCAUAGCCAACUAAUGGCCAUAGUAUGGGAUCACAUGAUUACAGCCUCUUUACGAACCAAUGCUCUAAUCAAAGCAUCAAUCCCUGCUUCUUGCAAAAGCAAACCUCCUCUCCUCUACCCUCGCCUUUCCUCUCCCCCCUUCUAAAACCUCCAUUUUCUCUAAUCAAUUUCUGAAUCUCUAGUGCUUGUAUGUUAAUAGCUUUGCUGACAACAAAAUUUUAUCCAGGUCAGCUAUAUGAAUCUUAGAACGUCACUGUGCUCAGUUUUUUGUCAUAUCUUCCGCUAGAUUCAAGUAAUCCAAGUCUCUUCUUAAAGUCUCUUCCAAGUCUUCCUCUACCCCUUUGGACAUGAGUCUCUGUCUCGUAAUCUCAUAUUCUAACUGGGGUGUUUUGUAGGUCUUCGUUUUAUAUGUCCAAUUGUGACUACUCUUAUCUUCAAUUGUGGCUACUCUUAAUUUAUCUUGGAUAUCUUCGUUCAUAAUCUUGUCAUUUUUCGUGUACCCAUACAUCCAAGGAAGCAUUUUCAUCUCCGCUACACUCAUUUUGUGUAAGUGAAUGCUUCAUCGCCUAGCAUUUCAUGCCAUAAAUCAUUGCUAGCCUUAUUAUCGUCCUAUAAAAAUUGUCCUUGAGCUUUAAUGGCAUACGAUAGUCGUACAACACAUACGAUGCACUCUUCCACUUCAUAUAUUCAGCUUGUAUUCUAUGAUUAAGGGCUCCAUCCAAUUCUCUGUUCUUUUGCAAGAUAGAUCCAAGAUAGUGAAAGCGUUAAUUCGCUCUUUGGUACUUUUUGAUCUCCAAUCCUCACGCCUAACUCAUUUGAACAUCCACACUCUAAACUCAUUUGAACCUCCAUUCCCACUAAACUUGCACUCCAUAUAUUUUGCCUUUGAUCUACUUAAGCGAAGAUCUUUAGAUUCUCACACUUCCCACCAAAGAUUAAACUUCGUAUUUACUUCCUCCUGCACAUAUGUAACCAAAUCUUCCUACCCCGUGACAUAUAAAUUGUGACAAAGGGAGAGGGAGAUUACAUUUUCCUAGUCAAAGAGUUCUCAAAGGAAAAAUGAAAAGAAAAGAAAAAUUAGAAUGUCUUGCUGUCUCUACUACACCACCAGCAACCUUAGGAUGGCGCUUCUUAUCUCCUCGUCCACGCUUUUGAGAAAUCGUCUUCCUGAUUGGAGUCUUUACAAAAAUGUGGUACCCUGUGGCAAAGAAGGUGGACGGCGAAUAAUAACCCUUGGAGGCGGGGGAGGAGGCAUGUGCUCCAGUAACUCUCUGUGGUAUACCUGUACAUUGCAAAUUUGCAAUCCAUAUGAACAUAUAAUAUGUAAAGCUUAUGCAUUCAAAAGAAGAGAAAAUAAAAAGAGACAGGACCUUAAAACAUAGUUCGGCAUAUUAUAUACUUAGUCACGUCAACAUAGCACCGUUACCACAAUAAUGCAUCCAAAUCUCCAAGAUUUCAAUACACAGAUGCAACCUUCUAGGGUACUAAACGGGAAGACCUAGCGGCUCCACUGAACCGCGCGACUCUACAACACCCUGACAAGCCCAAAAAUAUUCCAAAUAAACAAGCGAAACACGUUGAUUGAAAUGCAGUAAUAUAUUUUCAAACCCCAUAGGUAUUACUCAAAAAAAUUUAUACCAGAAGUACAAAAUCGUGCCUUUCACAAUCCAGAAAUAUAUUCAUGCUCCAAUCAACUUUUCCCAUUAUUUUAGCUCUCACUGUGGAAAAACUUAACUGAUCCCUGGAGGUAAAACGAUCAACUUCGUUGAACCAAUUGCAGCUAAAUAAAUUUGUGAUGGGGAUAUCAAUGGCGCUAUAAAACCGACAAAAAACACCACUUAUUGUCGGAUUUUUUGUAAAAAUCCGACAUUAAAUCGUACAAUGUCGCAUAAUGGAACCGACGCCAAUACUACUGUUACAAAAGGGUAUUGGCGUCACUUAUCUCCCUUUAACCCGCCACCAAGAACCAAAGUAAUAUAAAAUAAAAAAGAACAACAACGUUGCUUAAAAGCAACGUCAAGCAACAAUUAAAGAAUUAAAAUAUCAAACCUACUGUCGGUCCUAACCAACAUCAACAGUUAAAAUAAUAAAAAAAAUCUAAAUUAAUUAAUAAUAAUAAACAUUUUAUAUCACAAGUAACAUACAAAAACUCAUCUGCCAUUGCCAAGAUCUCAACUUUACAUAUCAAUUUCCAAAACCCAUUACAAAUCAUAAAAACCCCAUUACAUUCUGCUGAAAUUCGAAACCCUAAGAUUUGGGGAUUUCUUAAGCCCUCUCGCCCCUACAUACCACGUACGCCUCUGCCGCCUCCUGGAGCGUAGACACCGCGCUGCUCUGGAACCUCAGAUCGGUCUUAAAGUCCUGUGCGGUCUCCCGCGCCAGGCUCUGGAACGGCAGCUUGCGAAUCAAGAGCUCAGUGCUCUUCUGGUACUUCCUGAUCUCCCUUAGGGCAACAGUUCCCGGCCUGAAUCGAUAAGGCUUCUUCACUCCUCCGGUCGGGGGAGCAGAUUUCCGAGCAGCCUUAGCUGCCAGCUGCUUCCUUGGUGCCUUACCUCCGGUGGACUUGCGAGCAAUCUGCUAGGUACGAGCCAUUUGGGAAGAUGAAAGUGGAAGACUGAAGGGUUUGGGAAGUGUUUGUUUCUCGGGAAAAUUGGAGAGAUUUUGAUUUGGAUUGGAUGGAAAAUGGCUGAGGGUUUGAGUGGUAUUAAUUACGAUUUGGAGAGCAGAGGAAUCGCGGGAAGUUUGAAAUUUUGUGAUUUCGUGUGAACAUUUUGGAGGAGGGGUUUAAAAUUUUGUAAUUUCGGUUUAAUGAAAAUUUGCGUCGGUUAUAACCGACACCAUAUUCUGACACACUUUAUUAAAUACAUGCAGCGUCGGUUUAAAUGGAUUCAGUGUCAGUUAAAAACGACAGUACAUCUGACAUACUAACUGCGGGCUGACGGCCCCCUUCCCAAGUGACUGAUUGAAUUUCUCUUCCCAAGUGACUAUUUAAUAAAAAUUAAAAUUUAUGUCAGCUACAACUGACACUGGCUAUAAAAAUAUUUAAAAACUAUCAUUAGUGUCAGAAAAAAGCGACAUUAGUCUUCUUUUAACCAACGCUAACAUUAUGUUGGUUAAAAGCGACACCACUGUUAAAAAAUAUUAAAAUCUAUGUCGAUUAUAAGCGACAUUAACAUUUUAUGUCGGUUAUAAACGACAAUAAUUACGACACCUUGUAAACUAGGUGUCGGAAUGUCUUAAGCGCCACUAUGUUUUAUAAAAGCGACACCAACCACUGAUACAAUAAGGCCAUUUUGUAGUAGAUUACUGAUAGUUAAGCAAACACCAAGUUGCUGUAUGAGGCAGGGUAGUAAUUUCAAAUUCCCAACCAUGCUACUACAAGCGUGCACAUAGCAUUAGUCAGAACAGAAGUGUACCUCUCUAAGACUUGAAACGGAAUCCGGAUCCUCACCGGUGAGGAUUCCGGGGAUCCGUGAAUUAUAUCCGUUCAUCGUACAUCAUGCGGUUAUAAAUUAUUUUAAAUAUUUUUAUUUAAAAUUAAAUACAAACAGUACUUGACAAAAACUAACUGCACGAUAUACGAUAAACGAGCACGAUUUACGAAUUCCCAACACAUCACCAAAAGAAUCCGGAGAGGAUCCUGUUGGUGAAACGGAUCCACCACAAGCCAAAGCUUUCCAUCAAUCCAUAUAGAGUAUCUAACAUUGGGGAAAAUCUAUGCAAUAGAAGCUUCGGAAUCUGCCACAAAUACAUUAACAUCUAAAAAUUUCCCCAAUGCCUUUUAAUCCGGAUAUUUGGAGCAAACUCUGGACAGCGCCCCACUAUUUCUAUUAAGACUUAAGAAAAAUGCUAAUACUAUGUUUGGAUGAGACAAAUAAACUUAGAAUUUUGACAAAAGUCAGUUUAUAAAUUUACAUGCACCAAUUUCCUUGUUUGAAUUCAUAAACAUGGAAAUUUUGAAUUUAUGGGUGGAAAAAAACUUUGAAUUUGGAACCUCUAAAUUUCUUGUGAAUAGGUAUCAUUUCUAAAUUUCUAAGAGUAAGAGUUUAAAAAUAACAAAUUUUGUAUUCAAAUUCUAUUAUUCUUUUAGGUUAACUAAAUAAGAAAAUUCACAAAUUCUAAAAAAUAAAAUUUCGUCACUUUAACUUUCGUCCUUUUAAAAUUCCUGCAAGCUUACAUUUCAACGUCAAUUUUCGAAUCAACAUUAUAAAAUAUUGUGCAAAAAAAAUAAGAUGGAGUCCAUAGAGAGCCCCACUUUUAAAAGAGUUUCCUUAAUAUUUUUAUUCUAUUAAAUUAAAUUAAAAGCACCACCUGAUAAAAUAGAUGACAUUGGCAUUGUUUAGCAACUCAAACUGUUCUGACUAUUUCAAUCGAAUAGAAUAAAUAGUCACCGGAUAAUACUGACUAAAUUAGUCGGGCGUUUCGUGCAGUAUGGGACUAAUGACUGUAUUAUUUUUAGGAUUUGGAUCCUCUCCUGAGCAAGGGAGACAGAUCGUCCUGACCCAAACACACGAGCCGUUGAAUCACGGAUCCUCCUGACCCAAACACACGAGCCUUUGGAUUUUGAUCCAACGGUUACAAUAGGGGGCCCUUCUAAAAGUUAUAAUAAUUGUAACCAUUGAUUCAAAAUCUAAUGAUCUGUGUAUUUGACUCAGGAGGCUCCAUCUCCUUUGCUCAUGAGAGUAUCCAAAUCCUUAUUUUUACUAUGUUUGGCAACCAAAUAAAAAAAAAAGAAAAAAAAAAUUGACAGGGAGCAAAUCCUAUCUUCACGAUAGGAAGCAAAUGAAAAGCCCCCAAAUUAUAGCAAAACCUAAUUUGAAAAAAAAAAAAAAAAAAAAACUACUGAAAAUGGCUUGAAAAUUUUGAGUUUUAACGAUGACAAAAUAAAGGAUAAAAUGAAUAGUACCAUAAUUGACUUUUUAGUGUAAAAAUAUGAUUUUUCGUUAAAGUAAACAGUACCGAGAGUUUUUCGUUAAAGUUUCCUUGAAAAAAAGGGUAAAUUAAGGAUUUUUCUUUGGCAGCUUUCGUCCCUCAGUGGUCUGCAGUGGUUCAAAGCAAUCGGAUCUUUUGCGAUGUGGGGGCGAUGCGAUGGAUUUUGUGCUUUCUAGGUUUGGGCUCGUGCAGUGGUUCAAGGCGGCAACAAUUCGCAACCACGGGAUCUCGUUUCAAGAUACAACAACAAUGGCAGACUCGAGUGCAAGAUGGUGGUGUGAGCAGUUACAGAGAAGCAGUGGGUCAUGGACAGUGACGAUACGAGUUCCCAGAACGAGUUGAUUCAGACGACGAAGAUGACUCUAGACGGCACAGCUCUCCGAUUCUAGUUCUAUCCCCCACCAUGGAUGUUUGAAUAGAGACGUCAUGGCCUGGGUUUAAUUUGCCACUUCUGAUUUUCUGUUUGUAUAUGGUUGAUGUUGAUCAGAGGUGGGGAGGGAGAGAGAAGGAAUAUUUGUAUGAGCAUUUCGCGAUGCGAGCAGAGAGGUUGAGAGUGCGAUUGUGAUUUGCCUGACUAAUUAUACGAAGGUUCUGGGAAGGAUAAAUUAGAGGGUGUGAGGGGUAUUAAAAUGGUGGGACCGGUUUAAUUUAUCCGGUGCUUAAUUAGUACAGAUGAGCACCAAACAACUUCUAUUGUUUUAUAUGGCGUCCCAAACGAGGCUAUUGACUUUUCCUAGCAUCCAUACACAGCAAAAGGUAACACCAAAACCAAUGUUAGGAGUGCCAAUUUAACCAAGACAGGCCAAACUCCAGUUGCAAAGCCCAACGUCUACAGGAUAAAGGUUCAACAACAACUUACCAAGCAGCACUUUGAACAGAACCUGGACCAGAAGUUGAAUGUGAGCUAGAUGUUGUAGCCAGAUCGGUCAAAACUUAUGGUACAUACGACGAUGCAAACUUCUUCAACUUUCGGUUAGGUGGUAAAAGGGCCAGGCCAGUUUGGUGUAGGUAUUAUGCUCAAAUUAGAGUAUUAUACCAUUCUGUGUAUGUAUGAUUUUAUAUCACUUUCCUCAUACAUGCAUGUCUAUGCUUGUUUCUUUGCAAUGGUUCUAUUAAUUCCCAUGAAUCAUAUAAACUAAUCUUAAUAUAAGCAAUGCUAGCUACCCUCCUAUCUGCAUUUCCUUACUAUUGGUAUCAUGGGAUGGGACUAAUAAACAUGGCACGGCGUUCUUUUAUAUUUAAUGUAGAGUAGGUGUUAUUCACAUACUUUUUUUUUUUAACAAACGAUAUUAUCUACAUUAAGGAGGUGAGACACUUAUGUAGUUUCUUUUCUUUUUUUAACAAAUGAUAUUAUCUACACUAAGGAGGUGAGAGAGUGAGUUAAGCCUCACAAUGGUCUAGCCAUAAUAAUCUAGUUCAAAUUCGUCUUUUACAAGAAUCGAACCUAAGAUCUCUCACUUACAAGUGAAAAUGAUUACCACUAAAACGUAAUACUAAGUGGCUAAUAUUGCUUAUGUAGUUAUAUUGAAAGAAAAAAAGUUUUUAACUAAUUGCGAAUUGAACUAGUUGGUCAAGAUUUUAUGCUCUUCCACUUGCGCACAAGUUUAAACACGAAAAAAGAUCCUCUCCGAAUCCACUUUGUGGAGAUCCUAAAGAUCCCCAUAUCCUAGUCGUUCAUCGUACAUUGUGCAGCCAGUUUUCGUCAAAUACUAUUUGUGUUUAAUUUUAAAUAACAAAGUUAAGUUAAAUGAUUUCUUACCGUACGAUACAAGAUGAACGGCUAAUAUGUAAGGAUCCUUAGGAUCCACAGUGAAUCUAAAUGGGAUCCAAUUGCUUUAAACACCCGUUUGAUUAUUAAAAAGUUGAUUAUUUUUAAAGUCAUUUCAAACUCACUUUCAACUUUACCGUGAAAUUGACUUAUAAAGUUCCCAUUAGACGAAUCCACCCUUGUUGGUAUUAGUCACUACCAUCAGCUUGGCGAAUAAUCCUUGAUAACGAUUUAAUCAAAAUCAUAGAACAUUUGAACAAUCUAAAAUAUGACAAUUAUUUUUUCUUGUUUUGCAUGAUUCAAUUUAUGACUUUUAUUGUUUCAUUCCACAAGCUUAUUAAAAAUGUGAGUAAUAGUUUUUUUUUUUUUUUUUUGAGUAAAAAGUGUGAUUGUUGAAAUUUUACAAGAAUUUUUGUGUGUAAGGUAAGAGAAAAAUAUGAGUCUUUGGAAAGUGGUCAUAUCAUUUGAUGAGUCACAUAAGCAAAAAAAUUAAUAAGAAAUAGUUGUGAGCCCUAACACGUUAACAUACCGGAGUUUUGUCAGUUAGAUCAUGAUGUAUGAAUUUCAAAAAACUUAUUGUAUGACAAAAUUUUCAUGAAAAUAGGUUAUAUGACCUUUUUCUUCUUGCAUAUAUUUGCAAAACCAAUUCAAAACCAUGAGCAACAAUUGUUGAAAUAAUAAGGUUUUAAGUGUAAUAAAAUCACAUAGGAAUUUUUUUUUUUUUUACAAACGAUAUUAUAUAUACUAAGAAAGAGGAGGAGAUGACCUUCGCAUCACAAUGGGCUAGCAAUAAUGUAGUCCAAAAUCGCAUUUGACAAGAAUCAAACUUAAUACCUCUCACUUACAAGUGAAGAAGAAUACCACUAGACAAAAUACUAAAUUGCCACAUAGAUAAAUUUUAACCAAUCAUAAUAAUUUAAUGUAAAUCUACAAGCAUAGACAGUGCUAAACAAAUAUGAAUACUAGAUGAACUUGAGUUGGAGUUAAGGCAAGUGUUCGACACUAACUUGAAAAAGAAUUACGUAUUACGGUUUUUAUAGUUAUCCGCGCUAUAAUCUCUUACAAGGUACAACAACUCUCUUUGCGGGAAAAGCAUUGCAGUUCACAAAAACCGAAUUGUGUAUAAACUCACUCACACAACAGAAGAAUAAUUAUCCUAGAACUCUCUUUAUUUUGGAACUAUGUAUGUGUACGCAAAAAGCGAGAUCAAUUCACUUUGACUACUCUAUUUAGUAGAAGCAAGGUAUAAUCCGAGUUUGUUUCACUUAUGAGAGCCGGAGUUGAAUCCACUCUGAAUUUUAGUGUCUGGAGUUUAAAGAUAAAAAAAAUUGAGGUUUUGAUUUGUGUAGAACAGAAAUCAAAAUUGUUGAUUUGUGGUAGAUGAGCCAACAUAAUAAAUGAAUGUGAAUAGUUGAAUUCAAUUUAUGUGAUCUAAAUUUUUAAUCUCUUAGCUACAGACACUAAAGUUCAAAGGGGAUCCAAUUUCGUGAAGACUCAUCAAAAUAGGGAGGCCAAGAGAGUGGGCCCACAAGCUAAAAGCCUAAAACUUGCCGACAGGAUCCUCUUAAGAUCUUUUGGUAAGGAUCUGAGGAUCUGUAAAUUGUGUCCGUUUAUCGUAUAUCGUGCGAUCAGUUUUUGUCUAGUACUAUUUAUUUUUAAUUUUAAAUAAUUUCUUAUCGUACAAUGUACGAUAAACAGAUAUAAUUUACGGAUCUCCAUAAUUUUUACAAAGAGAAUCUAACGAUGAUCCGGAUUCUAAAACUUGAGGUGGGUCGGUCCCAGGGGCUCGUUUAUUUGUCCGAGUGGGAGAAGACAGCCAUAAAUUUCAUCAAAGCAUGAUUGCGUGGGUAACUGUUGGUAAAUUAAAUAAGACACAGACUGCUCUAGUUAGGUCAUUCAUUGUUUUCAUAAUCUAUAUGCACCAUUGGGUGGACCGACCCAUGAUUAAUAGCGGUCACAUUAUUAACUUAUUUAUUGUUUGUUUACUCGCACUAACUUUUCCACGUCUCGUAUUGUAUGGAACCAGAUUCUCUCUUGAGCAUAGGAUGAGGAUUCUUCUGAUCGGAUCAUCUCGAUUAUUGAAAUUUGAUCCAACGAUUACAAUAAUUAUAACUUUUAAAAUAUCCCCUGUUUAUAGCCGUUAGAUUAAAUUUCAAUGGUCCAGAUGACCCAGUCAGAGGAUCCCCACCCUAUGCUCAAGAGGGGAUCCGAUUUCGUAUUGUAUGGACCUGAUUAGAGAAAUGCUAAGAUCAUUUAUAAAAGAUAUGUCAAAAAUGCCACAUAGACAUAAAACUCGUUUGAAUGUGUUUUUAAAAUGACUAAAAGUGUUUUUGGUGAAAAUGUUUUUAGAACAAAUCUUUAGUAAAAACACUUAAAGUGCUUCCUGGAAGAAGCACAUAACUGGUGCUUCUUGCAGAAAGCACUUUAAGUGCUUUUGGAACCUAAAACAAUUUUCUCUAAAAACACUUUCAGUCAUUUUACAAGCACAUCCAAACGAGCUCAUAUAAUGAUAACAAAUUAUGUACUAUUUACUCCAACCAAGAUGUCAAUGAUGACAUGGCUAAGAUGACAUGGACGAUGUUAAAUUUGAAGCUGCCUUCAAAUUUUAUUUUUGUUAUUUCUAAAGGCAUUCCAAUUGUCUUACCUUAAAUGUUAGUACAUUUAAGUAUUAUUUUAUUAUUUUUAAACCAAUAACAACCCAACUUUAAUUAUUUUUGUUUAAAAAAACAUAAAUAAAAAAAAUAAACUUUUGGCAUACCAAGUGGAAAGAAAAUAUUGGCAAUAUGUUAAAUUACGAAGUCAGUCAUCAAAUUUAUAUUUGAUGUUUUAAAUUUGACAUCUUCUUUGGAGAUGCUCUAAAGAGGGUCUUUUAAAAGUGGUACUCUCUAUGAAUUUUUUGUCGUCUUAUGUUUUUGACACAAUGUUUUUAUAAUGUUGACACGAAAAUUGUUGUUAAAUUAUGAGGUGCCAAAGAGUUCAUAAAGAGUCAUACUUUAAAAGAGUUUCACUAGCAUUUCUCAUCCAAUUAUCAUUAACCCCCAAACAUUUAGACAUAGAAGGUGAUGAUUUGUUAUUGUAAUUAUUUCAUAUCAGUAGCAUUGCAACAUGUAUAAUCAUAAGUCUAAACGCCAUAUUAUAGGAUAUCAACAUCUUGAAGAAGAGGUUCAGUUAUUUUUCGAAGGUAACAUGGUGGCUCAUGAAUUGGUUAAACAUGGACUCUACAAUGGAGGUUUUAAUAUAUGGAUGGAGGGGGAACCACUUUGGCUAUCCCCCUUCCUUUAGUUUGAUAAUGACAACUUAUUGUAAGUGGUGAGCAAGUUGGUGAAGCAUUACUUUUCCCUCUUCUUUGUAGGAUUUUAAUGAGGCUUCCCUUGCUCCCCCAAAAUUCUUGUACUCUGUUUGUUUAACAGUACUGGAAAUAUCAGUUAUGAUAAAAAUAAAAAAAAUAAAAAGGCCAUAACGUGGAAUUGUUGUACGUGUCGGUAACAAAAUGCUACAUGAAUAUGUAACAUUACAAAUUCCCCAUAGGAUGAUAUAUUCACAUUAUCAGAUUUAGGGUUUGUAUGUAUGACUGCAACAUAAUCGUAUAGUUUGAAUGAAUUUGUAAUGUAUUCACAUUUUGGGUUUAAGGUUUGUAUAUCAAUGAUUGCAAUAUACAUAACUAUAAUUCAACUGAAUUUGUUACACUACAUUAACAUGUCAUCUUUUUCUCGUCACGAGAUGUUAUUGUCUCACACAAAUAUUCAUCGUAAUUAAUGGACCCUUGAAUUGAUGAAAAAAUAUUAGCCUUGUGCAACCCCCGGUUCAACAUAACAUAUGCAUCAUGCCAUUGCCAAAGUUUGUCUCAACACCUAGUCUAAAACCAUCAACAAGAAAACCUCGCUGUUGAAAAUGAAUCUUACAUUGAUGAGAGGAUGAAUCUUGCAUAUGCUUAUAAGCAAGUUGAAUUACUCUCCGUAUUGCCAAUUGGUUUUAUGGUGGAAAUCCAACAUCUUUACUCACUCAAACAACACUACUUAGUGCUACAAUUUAUGGAACCAAAAAACAUUGCCAAGCUUACAAUGCUCCUACAAACUAGGUACUUUUCCUAAGAAAUCUUACCUCUUAUGUGUUAAGUGACAUCAGAUGGUAAUGUUCUAGGUUAGUUUUCUUUAGCUAUUAUUGAAGAGUUCUAUAAAAGUUGUUAUUUUUUAGAAGAGUUUUAAAUACAUGUUACUUUAGCCGUUUGAUAAAAGAGAACUUUAACGAAAAGCUCUCAGUAUUGUUCACUUUAACGAAAAACCAUAUUUUUACAUUAAAAAGUCAAUUAUGGUACUAUUCACUUUACCCUUUAUUUUGUCCUUAUCGUUAAAACUCAAAGUUUUCAAGCAUUUUUCAUUAAUUUUCCUUUGAUAAAAACUUACUUAAAACUACAUGGGUAAAUGUCAAAAUGAUCUAGGCCGUCGAAAUUUGAUCAAACAGCUACAAAUAGGGGCCCUCUAAAGUAUAAUAAUUGUUGCCGUUGAAUCAAAUUUGAACGGCCAUGAUCAGUAGAUCCGUGGGCUCAGAUCCUUUGGAUCCAGAGAGGAUCCAAAUCCUUAUUAACCAGAUCCAAAUCCUUAUUAACCAAAUACAAUGCACAACAUCAUUUUCGUUUUAUAUUUAGAAAAUUGUUGAUAUUAUGCUAAAAUCCAACAAGUAUUACUCAAAAAUAGACUUGAAAAAAAAUUGUUACUUGUUGUAAAACUAACCAUUUGGGAGAAGGUAGAGGAAGGGCCGGCUAGAGAAGAAAGAAGAUAGAGAAGAACUUGAGGAAUUAUGUGUCUAAUUACUCAUGUUUAGUGUCUUUAUUUAUACUAAUCAUGAUGAGUUUGUUGCUUACAAGUAAUACAAGUUGUACAUGGAAAUGAUCUUCUAGAUCCUAUUGAUUUCCUAUUUCUAGCUACGCAAUCACACUAGUUUUUAAUCGGAUUCGUUCAAUUUCUCAAUCUUCAAUUGAAGAUCAUCUUUAGAAAAAUCUUGGAGAUUGUUCGGUCUUUUAAAUGUAUCAAAUAAAUAAACUAUCAUCAUAAAUAUGUUAUUUAGUACUGAUAUUGUAGAUUUAUUUCAUACAUUUGGUGCAUAAAUAAUUUCUGAUUCUAAUGAUUUUUCCUAGAGGUGAAUAAGAAAUUGAGGGAAUUCCAUUGUUAUAUUUAUACGACAAAGACAUGUUAUUCCCGGUAUAUGAGAUAUGUGCAUUCUUCCAUGAAGGAUACAAGUAUUUUCCUUACUAUAACGUAGUAAAAUUCAUAAAAGGCUUUUUAGUCAAAAUGGUACAUGAGAUUAACAUAACUUCUUGCUUUGGUUCAUAAGAUUUGAAAUCGAGCGGUCAUUGAGUUUGUUCACCAUCAACCAUUUUGGUUAUUCGAUGAAAAAUUUCUGUUAAAGAAGGACUAAAAUAACAAAAUUACUCUCAAUAUAAUAAAUAAUGGGUCAAAAUGAUUUGACAAACUUGAAGGUAUUUUUGGAAAAUGAUUUGGACCUUCAUGUUUUUUUUUCUUCAUAAAUAGUUGUUUAUUUUGUCAUUUGGGUCGAACCAAAUAAACAACAAUAAACGACAGUUUGACGAAGGCCGCUGAGAAAGCGGUGGAAAAGCCAACGACUUGAAUCAUUGAAUCGGCAUAAACAUUUAACAGCUCAACCCUAAACUUUUUUACGGACUACGCAGACCAAGUAUAUUUGUAAUAGUUUCACUCUCUUUGCAAGCACGUGAGAUGCACUCACGUCUUGGCAAAAGUGCUUUUCUUCCCUCGUUCAACCCUCUUUUUUUAUGUUUAUGUUUUUUUUAAUUAUUCCCUAAUUUAUGUUAGAAAAAUACCAAGAAUACUUUAUGAACCACAUUGUUGUUAGUCCAUUGUAAGACUAAGCUCAUCCCCUCCCUUUAGUAUAGAUAAUACCGUUUGUUAAAAAAAAAAAAAAGGUGACGAAGAAUCCCACUUUGAGAGUCUACUUAGCAUUUCUCUUUAUGUUAACAUGGUCUAAAAUUAGACGUGGUUUCAUUACACUUAAAAUGUUAAUAAAACUUUUUAUUAACAAGAGCAAUAUAAUUUACCCAAAAUUAAUUUAAAUUAUGGGGAGAGGGAAAUGGAGGAAAGCUUGAAAUCAAUGCGUAGUGGGAUGAAGAAAAGUGUUCUAUCCACAAUUAUUAUUCAGUAUUCACCACCUUCCAACAAAUUAUUGUUCUAUCCACAAAUAUUAUCCACGACUUUUUAACAAAAUACAUUAAUUCUUUCUAUGUAAAUGAAAUCACAUAUGAACUAGAAGUUAUAAAUUCAAUUCCUAAGCCACUUAGUAUUAUAGGUGAGUGAUAUUCGAUAUCAAUUUAUCUUUUUACUUUUUAGUGUAAAUAUAUCGUUGUAUACAAAAAAACUCAAUUCCAUAAAAAAAUGCAAGGAUUCCAAAUUAUUUUCAUCACCGAAAGUAAUAUUAAAAAUGUCACAAAUUCUCAUCUUCUCCUUUCUGUUAAUAAAAUAAUCAUGUAGUAAAAAAUUUUGUAAGCAAAAAGAAAAACCGAAUAUGAUAGAAACUAUAAUAUUACAAAUGGAGAAGGCGAUUAAUGCCAAUUUGGCCAAAGAUGGAAAUGAAUUAUUUCAAUAUUGUGACAGGUAAAACAUUGAAGAAAACGACGCAUGAAUUGAGAUAGAAAAUUUUUGAAAUUGUCUAGAAAGAGAAAAUUUCUAGACAUUUAGGAUUUAGUGAUAUUUUCUCUCGUUUUUUGGCAAAACAUAUCUCUAAUUUGAAUCAUCCAUCCCUUAUAGAAAAUAAAAAAAUUUCUAAAAUGAAUUGUUAUUGGCAUUCUAAAAAUCUCAUUUGGCACUCCAAACAUUUUAUAAUUAGAAAGAAAAAUACACUUAUAAGAAGUGUAGAUUGAGAUUUUUGAAGUGUUAAUAAUAGUUCCCUUUCUAAAAAUGGUAAGAUUAAUUAGUUUAAGUUGAUUAAGGUAGAGACGGCGCGUGGGAAAGAUGGUGAAAGAUAAGAAUGUCUUUUACGCCUUAGGCCUGUACAAACUACAGAGUCGGUCUUUUCUCUUGCACUGAAAGCUGCUGUUACUGCUGCGGGACACUCCCCCUUCUCACUCUACCAAUUUUUUCUUUUUCUUUUUACUCAAUUAUUUAUUUAUUUAUAUUAUUCGAGAGAUUUGAUGUUAAUUUUUGUUUAAUUUUUGUAUUCUCUUAAACUCUGCAACUCUACGUGUCUCUCUCCAGCCCCUGGGAGCCAUUGAUCCAUGUCCUUCCUUCUCCAAAUGCCCUGAAUAAUUUUCUAGGGUUUCCAGUAAAGGAGGCAUUUCCAAUAGGAGGGUGCUUUGUCUUGAAGGUGCUCAACAUUCUGCAGGUUGUGCAAAAAGGUUUGGACUUCUUGGAAAUUGGGGUUUUGUUUGUUGUGAAUUUGUGGGUAUUUUUAUUAGCAUUGAGAGUUUGCAUUCUAUGUGGAAGAACUGGCAUUUUGAAGGUUUUAUGUGCUGAAUUUAACUUACUAUGGUGAAAGAUUGAAGAUUUUCAAGAUUCUAGGGUUUGGGUUUCUGAAAUUGUGGGUUUUGCUUCUUGCAAAAGUGUGACUUUGGUGGGUUUGUGAAGGGGGGUGGAUUCAUGCAUUUCGUGCUUGUUGGAUCAUAUAUAUUGGAUGAGUUGAAUUCUGGGUUUUGGUUAGGAUUGUGUGGUCAAAAUGCAAGAUUUCUAAGGGUGAGAACAGUGGUUCUAUAGGAGGGCAUUGUUGGGGGUGGUUUUGGUGCAUAAUGGGUUGCAUUUAUUGUAAGCCCUCUGCAAUUGAGGAUAGCAAGGAGAGCCCCAGAGAGAGAUUGUCCAACAAGGGGGCAUCAGACUCGCGGACGACGAGGGUUGCUUCCUCAAGGAGGGAGGAAACUUAUCGGCCGAAAGAUCGAUAUGAUGGCAAUGGUGGGAGAGCAAUGUUGACUGAUACGCAAGUGAAUGGGCCUGUUCGAUCGCAAGGUGAGAAUUUUGAAAGGAAAAGGGAAAAGAUGGAGUAUGUUGUUGCUCAACAUCCUGGGAUUGGUAUCAUUCCAAAAGCUGCAGAAGGGGAGCAGGUUGCAGCAGGGUGGCCCUCCUGGCUAGCUGCAGUGGCUGGAGAGGCCAUCAAAGGAUGGGUACCCCGUCGUGCAGAUUCAUUUGAGAAGCUAGAUAAAGUAUGCUUCUUUUCUUGUUUAGUUCUCAAGUAGCUUUAUGGUGCAAGAAAAAUCUGCAUUAUUGAGUUUGAAUUUGGUAUUUUCUAUUUCAUUAUUGAGAUUGAAUUUGGUAUUUUCUAUUAUUGAGAUUGAAUUUGGUAUUUUCUAUUUCAUUGAAAUCUGUUUCCUUGUGGUUCAUAACUAAUUGAGGAACAAGGUUUACUAAGUAGCCAAUUUAAAGUUGGGGUUGAGGGCAGUAGUAUUAUUAUUACUUAUUAGUAUUGACAAGUUUAAGAGGUCGCACUUGGUGCGAUGGCAAAUGCCUUCGCCCAUGAGCGGUAGGUCUCGGGUUCGAGACUUGGGAGCAGCCUCUCCAUAAAUGGGGGUAAGGCUAGCCGACAUUCACCUCUCCCAGACCCUGCGUAAAGCGGGAGCCUUGUGCACUGGGUACGACCUUUAUUAGUAUUGACAAGUUUAAGAAUGUUGCGUCAAGGUAUACUUAUGAAUAGGCACAUGGAAUUCAUAUGGUGCAAAAUUCACUCUCAGUUCUCCUAUGUCUUUGGUAAUUGUAAAACUUUUAAAAGUAAAAGGCAAUGGAAAACUUGGAGCUAAGGGCUAGUGUACACAGAAGCGUAAAGCAUUGUUUAUUAAAAAUCAUUUGACAUGGGUGACUUGUUCAAGCAUAACAGUUUUAAGGUAGUAGUUGGUUCUGCAAGUUAUGAAUGGGGAAUUAUCUGCACUUGUAGGAUUUUGUUAAUUUUACUUAGGUAGGUUGGUUUUACAGUUUUAUGUUUUGGGUACUCUAUUGGAUGCUAUUUGGUUGCUAUGCUUAUAUAUGUAUCUGAUUUUCACAAUAACAUUGAGAAAAGAAAAAGGUUUAUGAUAUAUAAUAAAUACUAAAUCGCUCUAUUCGGUUCUUUCCACUGUGAUAUGAUACCUCUAUUUUUGGUUAUUUUCCUUGGUGCUAUCUCUUUACACUUCCAUAUUAGCUGGCUUUGGUUGUGUCCUAAUAUUUAUAUUUUGCAGAUUGGUCAGGGAACUUACAGUAAUGUUUAUCGGGCCCGUGAUCUUGAUCAAAAGAAAAUUGUUGCUUUGAAGAAAGUGAGGUUUGAUAACCUGGAGCCUGAGAGUGUUCGCUUUAUGGCAAGGGAAAUUCACAUUUUACGAAGGCUUGAUCAUCCAAAUGUUAUAAAACUAGAAGGUCUAGUUACUUCAAGGAUGUCUUGCAGCUUGUACCUUGUGUUUGAGUACAUGGAGCAUGAUUUGGCAGGGCUUGCUUCACACCCUGGUCUGAAGUUUACAGAAGCACAGGUACUUGGUCGUCUUCUUUCCUUCUUAUACUAAAAUAACAAGUUACUGUAGGUUUUUUGUCAGUUCUUGCUUCCUGUAUCUGCAUGAUGUUUGUGUUAUGAACUUUCUCUCAUCAGCAUCCAUUGAUGCUACUGGUGUAUUUUGUUUACUUUGACACUUGUGUAGUUGUGUGAAUGCUAUCCUGCAGUUUCAUUUCACUUAUGUAUAUAGGCUACACAACUUAUGUUAUGCUAGUAUCAAGACUGUUCAGUUGGAUGGAUGAUUGAGGUUCAAUUGAUUUAUUGGCAGGUUAAAUGUUACAUGCAGCAACUGUUAUGUGGACUUGAUCAUUGUCACAGUCGUGGUGUUCUGCAUCGUGAUAUUAAAGGUUCCAACCUUUUAAUUGACAACAAUGGCAUGCUGAAAAUCGCAGACUUUGGUCUGGCAAGUUUUUUUGAUCCUUGUCAAAAUCAACCUUUGACAAGUCGUGUUGUAACUCUAUGGUAUCGUCCACCUGAGCUUUUGCUUGGUGCUACUUACUAUGGGACAGCUGUGGAUUUGUGGAGUACAGGUUGCAUAGUUGCUGAACUGUAUUAUGGAAAGCCUAUUAUGCCUGGAAGAACUGAGGUAUUUAGAGUGUUUUUUUUUUUUUUUUUUUUUUUUUUAGUUGAUGCUCUUCACUGAUUUUUAUCUUCCAACUAUUUGGUAGUACAAAUGCGCACACGCAUGUUUCUGCAUUUAAAUUGAAUACUUUCUAGUUGGUGGAAGAAUAAGAAAUCAGCUAAGAACCUUUCUUAUCUAGUGGAAACCACCAUAAUGAAUCAUCUUCAUAAAUGUGUGCUGUAAACUUGCUUCCAUCCUUAUUCCUGAUCUGGUUUGUUGUGAUUUUACAACAUAAACCUAGUGGUGGCAUCUUGCAUGUCUGUCUUGUGGCUUUCUGAAUUGUUGUUCCUGUUAGGUUCAUUAUACACUUCGAAGUAGUUUGAGUGUAAAAUUUCAAAUUAUUCUUCCCCUUUCUUAGAAAUGGUUUGUUAGAUGUGAGAUUGCUCAUUAGAGGUGGCUUUGCAAGUAACCUCGUUGGGCCAUGCCACCAUGAAAGAUUUGUGGUUUUAGCUGGUAGGUUAGGGAUAGUUUAUGUACUGUUUCUGUUUGCAUUCCAGUUGCUCAAUUUCUCUGUGUCCUUGUAGUCAUGCCAACUUUGUAAUUAUUAGGAUAUGUCCCCUCUCCGUUUUUUACAUUCAGAAUCUCAUAUGCUUCUCUCAGAUGUAAGUGUUGUGCAACUAAAUAACCGGAUUUUGUGGAUUUUUACCUUGUAGGUGGAGCAGUUGCAUAAGAUUUUCAAGCUUUGUGGCUCACCUUCUGAAGAGUAUUGGAGAAAAUCAAAGUUGCCUCAUGCAACCAUAUUUAAACCCCAACAACCUUAUAGACGUUGUGUGGCAGAAACUUUUAAGGAUUUCCCUGCACCAGCUUUAGCACUUAUGGAGACCCUUCUUUCUAUAGAUCCUGCAGAUCGUGGAUCUGCAGCUUCUGCUCUCAAGAGCGAGGUUUGGAUCUUAAUUUAAUUCCAAUUUAAUGUUUUCUAAACAGGCAUUAUUUUUUCUGCAGUCUUUCUUUUAACUCGAUAUCUUCUUUGACACCAUUCUCUAUGUGUGCCUCACUACUUGUGCAUGCUUACAUCUGCGGUAGAGCUGUAGAUAUGUUGUGCUUUCCGUCUUUUGCCUGUGGUAUUUUUGAAAGUACAACUUUACUAUGUUCAAGUCCACUUUUCAUUGAGUUCACUUAUUUAACGUCUUCUCUGCUUUUAUGCCAUGUAAUGGUAGCUCUGGAGAUCAUGUUAAGCAAACCACCAGAUUGCAGCAAUUUUUUUUGGUUUUUCCUAUUCUGGACUGCGCUUUUAAAGGCUACAAUGUGUAUUUUAAUUGGCAGGAACAUUUGAUAACUCUCUUCUGCAUUAAUAACUAUUUAGAUAUUAGAAUCAUCCUAUUCUCUUUACGAGUUAUUUUACCAUAACUUUGAUUGUGUUUCUCAUGUGUUAUCUUUUUGUUUCCUUAUUUUUCACAGUUCUUUACAACAAAACCUCUUCCUUGUGAUCCAUCAAGUUUGCCAAAGUAUCCUCCAAGCAAAGAGUUUGAUGCUAAAGUACGGGAUGAGGAAGCUAGAAGGUGAAUGUUGUUACAUAAAUUAGUAACUGACACUUAACUACAAGUAGAAUUUUACCGUUUCUCAAUUUAUAGUUGCAAGGCACUUGCACAGUUGCACCACUAGCGUGUGUUUAUAUAUAUUAUAACUAGAUUCUACACACAUUUUAAGGUACUUACAUUCGUGGCAUGAGUGGUUCAGUCCCAAGAAUAACAACAACAAAGCCUUAUCCCUCUAAGUGGGGUCGGUUGUAUGAAUCCUAGAAUGCCAUUGUGCUCGGAUUUGCUCCAAGUCUUCCGUUGGCCCCCCAAAAAAAAAAAAAAAUGAAAAAGCCUAUGAUACAAGCACUGAGAGGUAAUUGAGCAAGUCGGACAGACUUGAUGCAUGAUACCUAUGGGUGAAGUUGUUCUUUUGUGAUUUUACCAAAGCUUCCAUGUAGGGGUUCUUGGGUUCUUAACAUCAAAUAAUGGGAAACUAUCUAAACGUAAUGGAAUGAGUAGGCCUUGGUAUUUAAUAACUGAUCUCAUAAGAGUCUGGACACUGGAGUUUCCCUAAAGCACCCUAGUUAGUACAAUUUUUCGUUGGUUGGGGCUGUGUAUGGUUGUGAUUUAGUCUCAUUUAUGAAGUGCAUUAGUGUAAAACCAUUUAUUAUUUCUGAGUACAUGCUUACACACUGAUGGUUUUUGGUUGAAUUCUGUCUACUGAUUUCUCAAGAUUUAAUUUGAGUAUUGUGAACCUGAUAUCAAGUUUGGUCCUAUAUGUAUAUUUUUUUCCUCUUCUAUUUUUAACAUUGUUAAUGUGGGUGGUGUAUAUAGUAACAAUCUUUUUCCACACAUUGGUAGACAAGGAGCAGCAGGGAAGGGCCAAAGGUUUGACCACGAAAGGAGAGGAACAAGAGAGUCUCGAGCCAUACCAGCACCUGAUGCCAAUGCUGAAUUAGUCAUGUCAAUGAAGGUAACCUGAUGUUAUUUUAACUAAAAACACUCACUUGGCUCCAUCAUUGAUUUAUGCUCUAACCUUUUAUAUAUGAUGAUAUUUAUGUGUUGCCUUUCUUUUCUGAUUUUUACAUGAACUUGCAGUAUUUAAUUGACAUAUUCAAUGCACUCUUAUUGCAUAGAAUCUGCCAGAAAAUAUCUUAUAUAUUUUCUCUUAUUGCAUCAAUGUUAUCCGGUGCAUGUGAGUUGGAUGCGAUCAUACCAACUCACAUGCACCGGAUCCAAUCAGAACUCCGAAGUUAAGCGAGUUUGGGCGAGAGUAGUACUAGGAUGGGUGACCUUCUGGGAAGUCCUCGUGUUGCAUCCCUCCCCACCUCUUUUAGAGGUCGCACUUGGUGCGAUGGCAAGUGCCUUCGCCCAUGAGCGGUAGGUCUCGGGUUCGAGACUUGGGAGUAGCCUCUCCAUAAAUGGGGGUAAGGUUAGCAGACAUUCACCUCUCCCAGACCCUGCGUAAAGCGGGAACCUUGUGCACUGGGUACGACCUUUUAUUUCUUCUUUAAAAAUCAUGUCUUUUUUUCAAGUUUUCUACUAUGAAAAGGGGCUUUUAUGAUCAACCCAAAUUUUCCCUUGAGUUAUAUAUAGUUAUAUACCCGUGCUUAACUUGUGAUUUCUACCAAUGUGAUUAACUCCGCAUAACAUUGAUGGUCUUGUUAAUUACCGACUUGCUUUUCUUAAACUACGAAAUAAUGUAUUUUUCAGCUGUGAAAUAAUUUCUUUCACUUAUAAUCUUGCGUAAUCCAAAUUGCAUGUUAUUAUUCAAUGCAAGAAAUUGUUGGACUCAAAUUUCUCUUGGAGACCCUUUGUUGUAAAUUAUUCAGUAUUGUUUAUGAUAUUACAUUCAUAUGGGAUAUAUAUCUCAAUACAAGGGAUUUUCUUGUUACAGAAAAGACAAGAUGGUUCUAAGAGCCGUAGUGAGAAGUUUAACCCUCAUCCAGAAGAAGUAGCUUCUGGCUUUCCAAUUGAUCCACCUAGGCCAUCACAAGCCGUAGAUGCAAGUGUAGAACAUCAUGGACAUAAUCAUAAGCGAGCUUCCCAUUCAGGGCCAUUGGCUCACCGGGCUGCAUGGGCCAAGUCUACUAAGAACCCAGAUGAUGCUCCAAAGGUUUCAACUGGAGCUGACUUGUCAGCAAUGUCAGGUUUAGUGGUAGCAAGGAGGAGUAUGUUAUCUGAAGAACGCAGAAAAAGGUCUAGUUCUUCACAAAUGGAAGUUCCAAAAGCAAUAGGCAGGUUUCCGGGUUCCUUCAAGGAGGCAUCAGAUCCCCUACAACAAGAUCAAAAGCAGGUCAUUGAAGGUUCUCAUCAAAAAGAUAUUCGAAGCAACAAAGAUCCAAUUAUUGUGAGUACCUGAACUCACGCCUUUUCCCCUAUGAUGGGGUUUCCUUGUUGAUUUAUAAUCGCUUGUGUAAAAUAACCUCAAGGGUGUGCGUUUUGUUUUAAUUUUGAUUUGUGGUUCAUAAGCUAUUCUUUAUGGUUUAUGUUUCGUUUUUUUUUUGGUUUAUUCUUGUUGCCCAAUAGAUCACUUUUUAUUUCUGGUUAUUUCAGGUUGGUUACGGAUCAAAGGGUCACAAAAUGCACUACUCAGGUCCGUUGCUAGUCCCCUCUGGGAACGUGGAUCAGAUGCUGAAGGACCACGAUCUCCAGGUCCAGGAAGCUGUUAGACGAGCACGCCUAGACAAGGCAAAGGUCAGAAAAUUUCACGCUGAGGCGAACCAAAUAUCCACCAAUUCAUUAUUUGUUUCUGGUCGUUGAGCUGGCAUAAGUAGACCCGAAAGCAGAGCAUCAGCAACAGAAAAAUCACCGCAGAUAAAAUUGCUGGUUUUCUCUUGUGAAAUGUGAGUUAUUCAUUGGUGGGGGGUGCUUUUAUUUUUUUGUAUAGGGGGGGGGGGGCACUCGUGGAAGAAUAGCCGGUGCCCAUUUUUAACUAAGUUUAUAGCACACGCUCGCUUGCUCUCUCGCUCUCUCACCUGUAUCGUUUUCCCUCCUUUGCAACUGAAAAAUAUGGCCCAUUCUUGUAGAGCUUGUUAUAAGCCAUAAGCUGUAGAGUAUGUGGGAAAUAUGAAAAUUGUGUUUUGUGAUGGAAAAGAGUAAUUUCCUUGUGCUGUUCUAACCACCUUCCCCUUUGUCAACUUUAUUUAGUUUUUGGAUAAAAAAUGGGGAAGGGGUGAAUCUGUCUACUCUUUUGAGUUCACAUUUAUAAUUCUCACUGUAAUCAUGAUUAGCCCCCUUUUUCUUACAGCUUGACUGGAAUUCUAAUCAUAUGCUGCAGAAUUUCCUAAUCCUUUGAUUUUUGAGUCAUAUAUGAUCUUGAAAAUAGAGACUACCCAGAUGAUUACAUGAAGACUUGUACUUGCCUAAAUUUUUGUUGGGUAGAUUGACACUAUAAGGUUGAAAAAUGUAUCUGGCUGCGUUUGACUUCUUGUCAUAGGCAUUUUUUUAUUAGAACUUUAUUCUAAUCAAACCAACAUACGGAAAGGAGGUUUCAAACUGUUCUAGCCAACUUAGCUACGUCUAAGUCUGCUCUUGUCGUGGGCAUCGAAAGUCUACGUCUACACACUCCUUUUCUCCUUAUGCACAUCCUAUUUUUUCAUUCCUUGAUUCUCCUUUGGUUUACUUAAUCUAAAGGUUAGAAAUAAAUAAGUGUGUAAAGAAGUAUGCGGAUAUAAGUUCCCAAGUCGGCGUGCUUGUUCAGUCUGGGUUUUUACCACACAAAUGUUGACUUGGAAAAGUUGGGGUUUAAUUCAAUUUUGUUGCUUCUGGAAGGCAAGGCAAGUUCUAUAUAUUUUGACUGCAGGAUGAUGCAGAAGACUCAUAGCUUACUGCAGGUGCCAUAGAAUUCAAUGGAGUCCCUUCGAUUACUUGUACUAUUCCUAACAACCCUCUUUCUCCUCCAAUCAAGUUUUGCAGUUGAUUUCUCCUUCACUGGUUUCAACUCAUCUGAUAUCUUGCUCUAUGGAAAUGCAACCACAGAUUCUGGUGUUCUUUCUCUCACAACCAACACCACAUUUUCCAUUGGCAGAGCUCUAUACAAUGCCAAGGUUCCCACAAGGUAUCCAGAUUCCAUAAACCUUUUGCCUUUCACCACCUCUUUCACCUUUUCCAUAGCCCCAUACAAGGACUCUCUCCCUGGCCACGGAUUCGUCCUUGUUUUCGUUCCCUCUCCAGGCAUCCAAUCCGCCUCUGCAUCCCAACAUCUCGGCUUCUUGAACAAUACCAAUAACGGUAACCCCAACAACCACGCUUUUGGAGUCGAAUUUGAUGUGUUCCAAGACAAAGAAUUCGGUGACAUCAACGAUAAUCACGUCGGCGUUAACGUCAAUUCUCUAACUUCUCUGGCUUCUUACGACGCUGGAUACUGGCUUGGUGAGGGCAGUAGCAUUACUGACUUUUCUUUCAAGGAAAUAAAGCUGAGUAGCGGAGACAACUAUCAAGCUUGGAUUGAGUACUGGAAUUACCAGCUCAGCAUAACAUUGGCUCCUGAAAAUGUGAAGAAGCCUGAGAGGCCUUUGAUUAGGGUUCCUCUUGAUCUCUCUCAAGUUUUUCUUGAUGAAAUGUAUGUUGGUUUCACUGCAUCAACUGGCCAACCAAUUGAAGAUCAUAAAAUUCUGAACUGGAGCUUCAAUAAUUGAAGCUAGUAUAAUAUUUAGAGUAUUUCGUCGAUGUACUCUCUGAACUUGUAGGUCGUUUUUAAUUUUCCACUUUGUUUUUUUUAGAAUAAAUGGGACUCAAACUAUUAAAAAAAAAAAAGCCAAUUACCUCCGUGCCGUCAUAUUUCCUAUAUAGUGCUACAUCCAAUGUAUUUAUCUUGAAUAUGUGAGUUGGAAGAUUUGUACCUUCAGAAACAAGUAAGGUUCAUGACAUGCCUCAUUAACCUGGCUUAAUGGAGGCAUGAAAAUAUUUGUUUCUUGUUUUGAUUUUGAUUAUGUAAAAGUUGAUGGUAUUGUAAAACGAUUAUAAUUCUCGGUCCUUAUUCGUGCAUGAUCUUUGUGAUUUUAUAUUUGACAUUUUUUUUAUUCAAACGAUAUUCUAUUAUAAACUAUUCUAAUUUACAAAACAAAAAAAUUUGAAUUCGGUGCAAGAAGAUGUGAGCAUACUACGUAAGCCAAAUGUAACAUUUCACAUUUGCUGUGUUUGCCAUUUCCAAAGUAGCAUUUGUUGCUGAUGAGUCAAUAUUAUAUUAUAUAUUUUACCCUAUUCUUAGUAUAAUUUGGUAAUUAUUUUGGUAUAAUUUUGAUACUUUGCUUUAUAUUUCCGAUAUAAGACAUUUGAUUUCCUCUGGAGCAAAACGGACGAAUUUUGGAGUGAUUCAAAUUGGAGGACGUUUGCCUGUCUCUUGGCUUGUUCGUGUCAAAAUUUGGGAUUUUUCUACCAAACGGUUAUUCUCUGGCGAUUUAAUACAAGAGCAGUGCGCGUUACUGGAAAGUGACGUUUCUGGGCUUAAAUUGCAUUUUUGGAGUCCAAGAUGACCCCAUAUGGGUUUGUGGCAUUCUGGAGAAGUGUUCAGAAUAGUCCAAGCUUUAAAUCCAUUUAUUUUGGGCCAGUUUUGGAGCUGAUUUGUGUCCAAAAUGUGGAUGUGCAGAUUUCUAGACGAAUUUACCAAGUCAAUUUAUGAUUUUGUUUCCUAUUUUAUUUCAAUUUAUUUAGUUUUCUAGUCUUAAUCUAAGACAUUUUACUAGGAGGAUUUGAUUUAAGAGUAGUAUAAGUAAGCCUUUUGGCAGACCAAGGGUUUUUCUUCUACGUACGCAAGAUUGAGAAAAGAAUUUGGCUAAAGCUUAGAGAUUUUCAAGACUUAUACUUUCAGGUGUUUUCGUUCUUUUUCUAGUUCAAUACGAUUAUGUUGAUUUUAAUUAUGAAUAUGCGUAACUAAUUCUCUUUGCUAGGUGAGGCCAUGAUCCUUAGCAAGAGUAUGUAGUCUCUUUUUAAUUUUCUUAUGAAUUUAUGCAUGCAAGUGGAUUGUUAAUCAUUGUGCUUUAAAUUAUCUAUUUGCCUUAGUAAUUCGCGACCAUCAGGAUAUUUAGAAAAGUAAUUUAAGGCAAUUUUGGUGGAUCCCUAAAAUUGACUAAGGCUUCUUGUGGUUAACAUGUGUAAUUACUUAGGAUGGACGUCACAUCUUAAGAGUUACAUGGUUUUUCAAAAGGUUUUAACAAAACUUAAUGAGUCUUGCAUGUUCACAUUCAAUCUAAACGUCAUGGACGGGUUGCAUGUUAGAUAUACGUUCUAUGUUGGGGGUUUCAAGUAAGACAUACUUUAUGAAAACCUAACCUUCAAAAUAUGCAUGUGUAAUUCAUAAGAAAUUAGAAAAACUACGUAGGAUUGUUAAGGUGACGGCAGAACUCUAGUGCUUUUCCAAAUUUGUUUCUCAAAAUCUUUUCUCUUUGAUUUGUUUCCUUUUUAAUUGGUUUUUAGUUGCUUUCCCUAAAUUACUCUUAUUAAAUUUCGUUUUUUUAUUACUUUUGAAUUCAAAAUCAACCUUUUCCAAUCUUUACUUUCAGAUAAUUAACUAGGAUUAUGGUUUUCAUAAAUUGUUUUAAAUAAUCCAUGCGGAAAACACCGUUUAUACUACAAUAACCUUAUUCUCUUGCAAGUAUUUUGUAUGAUUUUAACCUCAUUGCGCAGGUACCUAAAAAUCUUAUCAGUUGCAUAUGGCCCAAAGGCCACUAAACAAAACAUUUGAAUGUUAUGUGUCCAAUAGGGGCAACCAUGUCCACCACAUAUAAUUCAAAUGUGUCUGGUAGGACAAACAUGUAUGUCCACCACCCACAUAAAUUUCAUUCAUCAAUUUGAUCAAUAAUUUAAAACACACACAAGAGUCCCUACCAAACAACAUAACAAACUAAAAAAGAAAACAAAUAAGAGGCUCAAACAAAACGGACUUACACAGGCGAAUGAAUAUUAUUAUGCUGGAAAUGACCACUAACAAAUUCUUUUUUUGUGCUAACUAUAUGCUUAUAUCCAAAACGUUACUAUAGGUCUCAAGAUUAAACAUUUUUUUUUAUAAUGGAAUGCACAUGUAACUGUCACAUUCUAUCUUUCUAACUUGCAAGGGUGCACAAUGAUCUGAAUUUAUUUUCUUAUCCUUUAAACAUUAUCUCUACAAAACUUAACUAGAUCCAGAAUUGUUUAGUCAUCUAACGGUUAUCUAAAUAAAUAAACGAAUCAUGUUUCUCAUUUGAAUGUUGAAAUUUUAACAACAUUAGUUGAACGGUUAUAACUAAUCUCUAAUAUUGUGUUAGAACAUGAUAUGUUUUUAGAAGUUGAAAUUUGAUGCUUAAACAACAUAGACUUAAAUGGAUGGAUUACUGACCUCAAAUUAUUUAUUAAAGAUGCUAACACUUAUGCCCAAACAAAAUCUUGAAAUCUAUAGAUUUCUUUUACUCGAAUUUGAGAACAUGGACGUGCACCAAAUACAUUAAAUGUUGGGUACUUUUCAAGAGACGCUCUAUAACUUCUAUAGAAUGUGGUGGGACAAAUGAUUGACCUCGUACUUUAUUAAGGUCUAAUAAUUUUUACUAAAGAUAUAUCACACACAUGCAUGCUUUAUAAUUGACACAUACUAUUACAGAAGUAAAAGUGGUUGAUGUUUCUUAUUAGCACAAUUUUCGAUUUGUUAAAGAUAAAGAACGGUUCCAUGUGCUUUAUAAUCAACAGUUCAUUUUAAGAAUGUUACUUGCUAGUAUAACAGUUAAUUUAUUAAAUACAUAUAGAUAGAUGAUUAAAUACUCUCUAGAUUGAAUGAUUUUUUUAGAGAUGUUCUUUAAAUGAUGAUAAGGAUAAUGAAUGGUUAUGAUUAUAAUGUUUGUACAACAAAAUAAUGUCACGUCGCCGUUAAAUGAAAAGUAGCUUAGGCCAUGGUCUAAGCCAGGUGUUGUACAUAAUUAUCAUAAAUGGUUCAGAAUAAGAGUAUGAAAAUAUAAUAGAAUGACAAUUUAUAGGAAUAAGAUUUUCUUCCUUCCAAAUUCCCUCUCCUCCUCUCUCACUUUUCUUUUUGUCUUUCUCUCUCUAUAAGGAAGUCAACACAAAAUGUUGACGUGACUUAAUUAUGAACGUUUAUAUAAAAGGAGACUAGAAGAGGAGAAAAUAUCGAUCCGAGUUUACAAUGUUUGAUAAAGGUGGCCAUAUGGUAGUUUAAACAAAUAAUACAUGAAUACGGGAAGAUGACAAUAUGCAAUUACUACUGAUGCAAAAAGGGCCACAACUCUCGAUCUCAGCCUACUUACAAGAAACAAGUAUUUCUUCAGGUGCAUUUACAAUUUGUCACAACAUUACUGUCCAAAAAAAGCAUAUGCAUUAAUAUCUCACACAUCUAAAGAGAAGGGGCUUCAAAUAAUGAUAAUUAACAAAGCAUAGAUGGAAAAAAAAAAAGAAAAAAAAAAGCAUAGCAAACUUGCUGAUGAUAAGUAACUUGCUACUUUGAUACCACCACACAAUUUAUAUCUUCAUUACAAAAAAAAAAAAAAAAAAAAAAAAAAAAA